GAUCUUGUUUUGUUUGAGAGGCUUACAAAAAGAGAUGAAAAACCACCAGAAAAGGAAUCUGAUAAGUCUUCACGAAAACAUAAUUAGUUCCAAAACAAUUCUACAACAAAAACAAAAGAGAGAAAAAUGUCUUUUUCUGGUUAUAGCUUCGUGGUAAUAACAUUAUCCUCCAUCGUCUUAACUCAAAUCUAUGGUUUGAGAAACUUUAACCGAAUGGACGAUCUCCAACCGGAAGAAACACUAGCGAUUCACAACCAGAUUCGAGCCGCGGUCGGGGUUGCUCCAUUGGUGUGGGACGAAAAACUUGCUGCCCAUGCACAGAGGUACGCUAACGUACGAUCCCAAGACUGUGCCAUGAAACAUUCCACUGAUGGAAUGUACGGCGAGAAUAUAGCCGCUGGGUGGGUCCAACCUAUGGACACCAUGAGCGGUCCGAUCGCGACAAAGUUUUGGUUGACGGAGAAGCCUUAUUACAAUUAUGCCACCAACAGAUGUAGUGAACCGUGUGGGCAUUACACUCAGAUUGUGGCUAAUCAAUCGACACACCUUGGUUGUGGUACGGUUAGGUGUUUUAAGAAUGAGUAUGUUUGGGUUGUAUGUAACUAUGCUCCUAGGCCCAUGGGUGAUGCCAAUACUCGUCCGUACUGAUCAAUACCGUAUAAUGUGACUAUUAUAGAAAAAUUAAGAUAAUGCGUUAUUAUAGGCACGAUUAUAUGCGACGUGGUUUGCAAUUUAGUAGUUUGUAUUAGUAUUGUUGAUGUCUCACUAUCUAGAUUCAAGUAUAAAUAAAUGCGUGUUUUGAGAUAAAAAUAAUAAUAACAUGUAAUUCGGAUUUUUUUUGGAAUAUAAAAUUCAUAGAGCAACCAAAUAGAAAACUUUACAAGCGGCAAGAAUAUAUUUGUUGUAUUUAUUAAUCUUUUAUAAUAUAUACUAGUUGGCUACUUAAAGGAAAACCACCUUUAAAAUCACUAGACCUUGCAUUUGAUGACCAUGUGUUUCAUGGCUUUGUAAGCAUGUUUGCAUUUAGCGUGUUGUUUUGUCAGCUGUUCCAUACUUGGGCUCAUGGAACCAAGAGCAAACUUCCAUCUCUUGUGGUGGGGUUGCAAGACAUUGGGCUGCUUGUUUCACGUGUACAUCAUGUGAAUCAUCACCGAGCACCGUAUAAUAACAAUUACUGCGUAGUGAGUGGGGUUUGGAACAAGGUUUUGGAUGAAAGCAAGGUCUUUGAGGCAAUGGAGAUGGUGUUAUAUUUCAAGAUGGGGGUGAGACCGAGGUCAUGGACCGAGUCAAACUCCGAAUGGAUGGAAGAAACCGACAUAUUCAAAUGUUAGCGGCACUUUUAGAUAUAUUCUUCGCCAUUUUAAGUGGCAAAAACUCGAUCUUUACCCGCGAUUUCGAGAUUAAUCUAUCUUUUAGUUUAAGACUUAUUAAUUUGAUUUCCAAAAAACCAAAUGUUUUCUUUUACUUAAAAACAUGUAGAUCACAAUUUUGAUAGAUUUGAAAAGUUUAAUAUAUAAUUUUUAGGGUAAAUGUAGCAACUUCUAAAAUGUUUGCAAACAUUGGAAAGUGGUAUUCAAGUUUUGUAGAUAGGAUAUCUUUCUAUGUGGAUAAUUGAGUCUCAUCACUUAUCGAGAUAUCUCUUUACAUUACCCUUCUUCUUCUUCGUCUGGUUACUCUGACACUUGGAAGCAAAAGUUUUGUUUGUUUGUUAUUUUGUGUAGUUGUGGACCUAAACAUUUUUCCAGGAUCUUAACGAAAGGUAGAAAAGGUAAAAACAAAACAAGAGAAUUAAAUAACUAAUGAUGCUCCAUUGCUCUCCUUCAGUGUUAGACUUGAACCAUGUUAAUCCAAAAUUGUUCUCAUUGCUUUUCCACCUAACAUUUAAAUAAACAAGAACAUAAAAAUAGUUAGCACGCCCACGUUGACAUUUCAAUUCCAUGAACCAACCCAUCUCGUUCCCAAAAACGCACAUUUAUUUCACUUAAAAGUCAAAACCGAAUAAGCCGCAAAAGAAGAUCAUAAAACCCAAAACACUUUUGACCCACACGCUUCAAAAACGUUGACAUAUAAUAAUGCCGUCCACACACAUAUAAAUACUUAUGUACACACAAAGCCAUCAAGAUAAGAAGACACUUCGCUUCAAAUCAUUUGUGUAUUGCAGAAACUUCUGAUCUUCAUGGAAGCUACUUCUCAGCCAUGUUUCUCUCAGAACUACCACUCCUCGCUUCAUUCGACCCGAAAGCAACCGGCAAAGCCAUGGAAAAAACCCGUAUCGGGUUUGGCUCAGCGGAUGCAUCCUAAAGUUUACCGAGUCAAGCCUGUUAACUUUAAGGAGUUGGUUCAGAGGCUAACUGGUGCACAUGACCAUGAGCAAGAGGUGCAUCAAGUUGAAGCUAAGCCAGUCAAGAUUUCUGAUGACACAACAACAGCUAAGGAUAACCCGUUCGCGUUUGAUCUUUCACCGUCAUCAUCUCGGUUUUGGGAAGCUUUCCCUCUUCUCAGUCCUGCAAAUCUUUCAAGAUGGUAGCGAGAAAAAAAAAGCUUCCUUUAAUUGUAAUUCUUGCCAGUUUUUCGGCAAUUUUUGAAAUUGUUCCCACAGAUUUAUAACAUUUUACGAUCUUAUCUAUGAAUAAAAAAGUUACCGUUACAUUACAAAACUGCCAUUUGAUAUAACCAAUGUAUUAAAACCGACCUUUUCGAACACCUAUUGAUCCCAGUAGUUUCUUAGCUGCGACAUGUGAAGAAGAAGCUCGUCUCUGCCCAAACCCGAUACACUACUCGUCAAAAUCCAAGGAGGAUGUACUUUGAAGUUCUCUUUAAUGAUUUGUUGGAAAGCUUUGAUGUUCUCAUCAGGUCUUUUCCCUUUCGUUGCUUUCAUUUUAUCGCAUUUCGUAAACACAAAAGUCAUCUGUACCUGAAAUCAUCGAAAACGACAUUUAACAACUCCUCAAAGCAACAUUUCACUGAACAAACAAAAGCCAAAUUUACCACUUACAUUGUUGCGACCAAGCCAAUUAGCACAAUCAAGAUCAAUCUUCUGAGGAGGAACACUUGCAUCGAUCAGAAGUAGAACACAUACAAGAGUGUCUCUAUUCAAGAAGUAACCUUUAGUAAACGCAGACCAAUCUGUUUUCGCAGCAUCUGAAACUUUAGCAAAUCUGCAAAUACAGUCUCAACAUCAAACAAGAACUUUUAUCUGAAAGCAAGAUAUCAAAUACAUAUCCACUAUGUACCAGUUCCAAACCGAAUUAGCCAGCUCAACCGGUUUGGUUCGGAACCACCUAAACGAUAUUACCAAAAUUUUAUUCUAAAUUUAAGUAAAAUUACUAAUAUACUAUCAUAAUUCAUAAACUGAACCCGAAUAACCGAAAUUUUACCCAAAUUAAACCGAAAGCACCAAACAAGCUAUGUAGAACCAUGAGAGGAGUAACUAUUAAUAUACCAAAUUUAACCAAACAUCAUUGUUCUGUUUCUUCUUACGGUAAAUCGAACCGAAAUCAUCAAAAACAAUAACCAGGCAAAUCCAAAAUGUACCAGUUCAGAACCGAAUAAGCCAACCAAACCGAACCUAAAUUUAGCUAAUUUGGUUGAAAACCUAUUGGCAAGAGGAAUGAUGAAAUUCGGUAACUGGUUCCGUUUGGUUUCGGAACUACCAAACCAAAAAAUACCGAACUUUGAUCCUAAAUUUAACCGUAAUUAUUGUAACUGUAUCCUAAAUUUUACCAAAAUGAACCAAAAUAUACCAAAUUUAGCCAAAGUUAUUUCUGAUGAAAAAGUCGAACCGAAUUUGGUUUUCGAUUCUAAUUCGGCAUCAAUUUUGUACCUACCAAAAUUUGUCCCUUACGAACUGAACCAAACCGAACCGAACUUUCAUUCCAUCUAAUUCGGUGAGAAUUUUGCAUAACAUAAACACCAAAAUUCCAAAAAUUCCGAACGGAACCAAACCGAUUAACCUAAAUGCCAAAUCCUAGUCUCAAUAUCAAACAAGAAAACUAGAUAAAAGAGAUCAAAACACAUACCCAUAACCAGGCAAAUCCACAAUGUACCAACUCUUAUUCACCAAGAAGUGAUUUAUAAGCUGAGUCUUCCCUGUUUCACCAAAAAUUAAAAAUCAAAACUUUCAGAUUUCCAAAACAAAAAAGUUCAAUUUUUUAAGCAAAAUUAUAAGAAAUACAAACCAGGUUUCUUAGAGGUAAGAGCAACUUCCUUCUUACGAACCAAACAGUUGAUAAGCGAAGACUUGCCAACAUUAGAACGACCCAAAAUAGCAAUCUCAGGACGAUCAUCUUUAGUGCAAUCUCUAGCUCGAGCACUACUUUUAACAAAUUCAACUUCUUUGAUUUGAGAAUGACCUGCAAAAGGUCCGAUUACGAUAUUGGAGCCCGGAAGAACCAUAUCAUCUGUUAGUUCCUCAAUCUCUACACCAGGAGGUAUGAAUAACACUGACUUAGCGAAUUUGGCCGCAUCGGAGAUCGAACGAUUCGUUGUUGGUGUUGGAUUGUUCGAAGAGGCUGAGAUUUUUGGGGUAGAGAUGAAAUUAGGGUUACGAAAUGAUUGGAGGGUGUGGAAUUUGUGAGAAUUUGGUAUUAAAGGAGUGGGAUUUAUCGUUAAGGAUCGAUAUCGGAGAAGUAGCACCAUUUUUUUUGUGUUUUGGGUUUAUCGUUAAAGAUAGGAAUUUAAUAACUAUAAGAAAUUGUUGUAUUCUCUCAUUAAGUCUAUCUCACCAGCGCACUUGAGUUAUCAUAAUAAUGAAACAAAGGAAAAACAAAAAUCUAAGUUAACAUUAAAAGGAAUCAUGACUAAAUUCAAUAUAAUAUUUGAUUUUGACUUGAAUGCAAAAUACCCCACAUCUUGAAAACUAAUAAACUCUGAAUCUUAACUUGUUCAUAGACAAUGUAGUAUAGUAUAAGUUGUGUGGUAGAUGUUGAAUAUGAGUGAGAGAAGGCUUUUACCUUGUGAGUUCUGUUGUCUUCUUCUUCAAAGUGAUUCUUCAGAAGCUCUUGUAAUCUGAAAACAUCCACCACAGAUUUCAGCAUUAAAACACAGAACCAAUUUUUGAGAAAUUUAAUAAACCCUAGAUAUAAAAUUCUGAAUCUAUUAACACAUAUAUAAAAAAAAGAAACUUGACAAAAGUUACCAAAAAUAGCAAUCUCGAUCUAGAAAAAUAGGGAGAAAAAGGAACACUUGACCCAAAUCCUAGCUUCAAGCUGGUCAAAAUUUCAGAUAAAGGAACACUUCUUCACCCAAAUAAAGAUUCAGAAAUCGGAGGAGAAGUUUGAGAAACCUAUCUAUCUAUGAAACAGUGGAAUCGGAAACUCAUAGAAGAACCCAGGAUCUCUAUCACUUAGUGCGAAAAACACGGAGAGAAAGAGAGAAAACCACAGUACCCUUCUUCUUCUUCGUCUGGUUACUCCAUCAUCAUGCUGCUGCUUCGUCGUUGUCGUCGUCUAUCUGUAGAAAUUGGCCAAUCGCUCUCACAGUGUGAAGGAAGAGGGACCAAUGGGCAUUGAUUUGGUCCCGCAAAUCUCGUAGCGAAGCGCCUCUUCUCUGGUCCUGUUCGUUUGCUUAUUUGGGAUAUGCAUCCGAAUAGUUCAUCCAAAUAGUCUAUUUGACUAAUCCAUCUGAAUGAUGUUCGUUUCCAUUUUUUGUGGUUCAGCUGGAUGAUCCAUCUAACUACUUUUCUUUAAAAUUUUGUUUGUUUGUUCAGCUGAAUGAUCCAUCUAAAUGUUUUUGAUAUGAAAAUGACUAAAAUGCCUAUGUUUUCAUCUAAUUAUAUUUAAAUUUUAAUCUAACCAUAUUAAUUACCGAUCAAAUAUAUAUUUACAAUCAAAUAAAUUUCAAAUUAUUAUAUUUGACAUUUAAAUUUCUAUUUUCAUGAUUUUUUUUUUUUUUUAUAUAAGAACCAAAGCAUAUGCUAUGAAAUUAAACAACAACCAACAUAUACCAAACAAACUCCAAAUUAUCUAAGUUUUCUUUCUCACCACGAAAACCUCACUUACAAGCUGCUUAAGAUUCUCUAACUACAUUAAAAUAUUACAAAUCCGAUUCUAAGUUAAGAAACAAUAAAAUCAUGAACACAAACACAAGUUCGAGAAUAAUUAAAGCUGGAAAUAUUUACUCAUCCUAAUAUCUACACAGAGCAUAAAAACUACAAGGAUCUACCACCAAAUAACACUACAUAUAAAGGAAAUUAGAAAAUCCAAAUAACAAAUAGCUAAUCAAUCUCAGUUGUUCAACCCAUUGCAGAUAAUGCAUCCAAAAAUUUCUCUGAUCACUCAUACAAACACCAAGACCAAGCAACUUUUAGCUAUAGCCUACCAGCAAGAUAAGAUCUUUGCAAUGAGAAUGAUACUACAAAACGUAUCUGAAUCAAUCAAUUCCAAAUGAUCAGAAGAUUUCAGCUUUAAGAUAAUGCAUCGUUUCAGCUUUCAAACAUAUAAAAUAGAACCAUAUAAGAUAGAAGCUUUCGGCUUUCAACAACAAUCAACAAUAGAUGACAAUAAAUCCAAGCCAAAAGUAAAGUGCAAUAGAAAGCAGAAACGAUCAGAUUCAUCAUAUCUUCUAAAAUUAUGACAUGAUAAACUUCUAAAAGGAGACGAUAAUUGAAUAAUAUGUCUAGUAGAUUCAUCAUAUCUUCCGCUGACAUAUGAGUUUGAUACUAAGCAAUAACUAAAAUUCUUUAAUCAGCUGCAUCAAGGAACACAAAAGCUAAGCACCAUUUUAUAGCUUUGACACUUUGAAAUGACAAAUAGCAACUAAAGGGACAACAAACACAAACCCUAGCUGAGGUAAAAGUAAGCUCUAUAUUCAGUAUCUUGCAACCUGAAUACAAUCAACAAACCAUAGAAAAAUAAGCAAACAGAGUUCAAGCUCCUUAAUAAGCAACGACGCCCAAGAGAAGUGCCAAAACAAAAGCCAAUAAUCAAACCCAUGAACUAUAAGAAUCAAAUACACGACUAAGAAUCCAAUAAUCAAACCCAUGAACUAUAAGAAUCCAAUAAUCAAACCCAUGAAAAAUUAUAGCCGCUCAAAUACACACAAAUAAUUCUAUGAAAAACCCAUGAAAGAUUAUAGCCUAUAAGCAUCAUAAACUCAAUACAAAACCUAUGAAUCUUACCUUAAACUAACGGCGAAAGAUUCGGCGGAGAGAACGGCGAGAGAUCCGGCGGAGAGAAACGGUCGGCGAAGUGGACGGCCGGCGAGAGAUCCGGCGGAGAGAGAGAGCUGAUUUUGUUUGUAAAGAGAACAAAAACAGAGAAUCGUCGACGAACGAAAGAAAGAGAAGAGGAUUAGGUUUCAGGAGUGUAAUUUUCUAAAUUAAGUAGGGGUAUUUAGGUCAUUUUCUAUUUUAGACUGAAUCAGCUCCGGUUAACUGCUCCGAUCAGACUCCAAUCAUUUUUUGGAUGAGUUUAUUAAAAAUCAUCCAACUAAUCCAUCUCACUGCUCUGUUAAAUUGCUCUAAACGAACAUCAAUAUUCAUCUCCAUUCAGCUGGAUCAUCUGAAUGGAGAAACGAACAGCACCUAACUCAUCUGGUGAAACAUCAUGAUCAUUGUUAAUAGAAAUCCCACCCAGCUAUCAUAAGUACAUGGUUUACGAUUUUUUCUUCUUAUUAUUUACCUUUAACAUGUGCCCUUUUCAGAAUUUGAGCUAAUGAAUCUCACAAAACACUUCAAAAAUAUUUCAACAAUCUCUUCCUUAACAUUACAAAAAUAUGAACUACACACUCAAACAAAUUCGAGCGAAGAAAAGUUUUUUUACCAAAAUUUUUCAGGAUUACUAUAACUCCAUCGCCUUUUACAUCGAUUUGGUUUCCUCUUCAUGACCCUCUGUUCCUCAAAGUAGUUUAAUUGGUCUUAAAAUAAUUGAUAUGUUAGCGGUAAACAAACUCUGAUUUUUCUCUCUGUUCUCUUUUGUUAACUCAGAAGAUUGCUUGUUCGUCUAAACUAACGUUGUAUGUACGGAACAAAAUAACGGAUCUUCUAUAAGAAAUUACAAACUUAUAACUAUUCAAACUCUAAAAAGUAAAACAAAAGCAAAGUCGAGACACAUGAACAUGAUUGUUAACAAAGGCAAACAUAGGCUGAAUCGCCCUAACUAAUACAUAGUUUCACCUACGGAGAAGCAUGAGAUGAUAGAUGAGGUUAAGAUGAUGUAAGAGAAAUUAACACAAUCGCGACGACAACCACCUACUUGAACGGCUUUCCAAACAGUGGUCUUCCCUUCUCAAUUGCCUUCACCACAUCAAGACCAUGGUCAAUUUUCUCGUUCGUUCUUGUUGGCAUUGGCAUUCGCCAUCAAGAACAUUUUAGGAACGGUGUGCUUCCUCUCAAAAUUCUCAUGGUCAUAGAGAUGAGGUUUCAUAAGAACAAAACUCAUCAACCAACAAACUUUCUUAAAAGAGAGAUUGAAUAAAUUUCAUAGAUUUGCCAACUCAGGACAAAUGUUAUCUAUUGAUGUUUAACAUGUGCAAACAUUACAAUGAACAAUAUUCAAGUGCCACUGGAAACUACUCAUAAAUUGAUUAACCAUCUUAGAAGGAAAAGUCUCUGCAUCCCUCUAUAUUUCUCAAUUUCUCUAAAUCCUAAGAACUAAUUCCAAGUAAAUAGCAAAAUGUUUGAAAUGAAACUUACUCCGUUAUGGUUGACCAGACUCGAAUCCCCUUUCGAAGAAUAUCGAGAAUUAAACUGACUUUAGUUUUUUGAUUGCCUCGUCGUCAAAACUCGAAAUCUGACAUUCGACCACUCGUUUGGUGGGUACAUUGGUUUGGUGUAGAUUGGGCAUUCAAGGAUCUUGUAAACGCUCGUUGCCGGCUUUGAGACUUGGUUGAUGAGAAUUGGCGGCUGUGAUGUUGAAGAUGAUGGAUCACACUCUGAGGUUCUUUGAGGGAUGGAUGAUAAACUCUGAUUUGUUAGCCUCUUCUUCUCACUUCUUAAUCUCUCUCCCCGUCCUUAGUGCCUACUUUAAAUUUCAAUCAUCCUCCGUCUCUUCACCGAGGUGUUUCGUAACUGCAUCUCACAAGUCAUUGACUGCCCGAGCGUCCAAUUGCAAGAGAAAAUCCUCGAGCCUGUUUCAUCUCACGGACCAAGUUACGAACCCAUCACCAAAACGCAGCCCUCGUUGAUGAUUUCGUCGAAAUCAACAAACUUCCGAGAGGUCCAAAGGCAUUCAGUGUUCUCCAUAAUCGUCAAUUCAAUUGCUUAUCUAGAUGCCGCGUGCUACGUUUAGAAGAAGAUGAUUGAUGGCGUUUGUUGGAGAAUCGGUGAAUUUUCCGGUGGUUGUUGGAGCUCCUUCCGAUGGCAAAUCGAGUUGACAACAAACUCUGUCGGCGGUGAUCGGCGACGACAAUCGUCGUCUCUUCAGGUGUUUCAAUAAGAACAGUUUCACCAUUAUUUUAUCGAGUGGGCUUCCACGUUUUCCUCUAUUUGUUUAUUUUUGUUAUUUUCUUUGUUUCUUUAAUAUUAUGAGACUAAAAAAAACAAAAAGAGAGAAAGAGUGACGUGGCUAGAUAGAAAAUUGUUACUGGUAACAAAGCUGAGGUGUAUUAUUUAAAAUGUUUUGAUUGGAGCUCGUUUUUAAUGACGUGUCACAUCCAGGAAAGCUGAAAAAGUUGAUAUGUCAGAUCAUGAGAGAAACAUAGUGUUUUUAUUGUAUUGAUAAGUUCCAGCAGCGGCAAAAAAGAAAAAAAAAUAUUUUUCUAAAAUAGUCCACAAUAAGUUUAAAUUUUAUUUAGUCCACAAAAUUUAACCUAUCAAGAUAUUUUUGAAUUUAACAAUAAAUAAAUAAAUGUAUUACGUAUAUUUGUGUUAAUGUUACAACUUACAAGAUAAUCUGGGUAAUUCAACUUCUUAUUAAUUUUAAUAACUUUUUUAGUUUAGUAAGAAUAUUAAAAUAUUCCGUAUACCUUUUCUUCUAUCUAUGUGAAAAAGUGUUAGUCGAUCAUCGACUCUGGAGAACAAACGGUAAAAAAAUCGCAAGAGGAGCGUGAGAGAAAACAUUUAAAUUUUGAAUCAAUGGGCCUCAUUGGGCCUAGCUAGAGCUCUGUUAGGCCUAAUUUGAUCUUUUACAUGGAAAAAUCAAGACCGUCUGAUUAGAGCAUCUGACAGAUCUCAACGGUCAACAUAUCCGUUAGCAAAACGCAAAUUUGCUCUCGUCUUAUUUCUUGAAGAAUUCUCUCGAUCCAUAAUCAGAGAUCCGUUUCAAAUGUUUCUUUCGAUUUCUAUAGAUCGUGAAUCUGUUUUUCGGAUUAAUGAGUUUCUUGUGAUGGAUCUUAUGUUGUAUUGAUCUAGGGUUUUGAUGGUACUUGGAGGAGGCUUGAUUCAGCGUAAAACUGCUACCAUUUUCUUCUUCUUUCUAGUGGUGAUUGAUUGGUUAGAUUUCUUCCUCAUCUUUCGCUAUUAUGUGUUUUCUUUUAGGGUUUGCUAAUACUUCGUAUCUAAUAUCUUGUUUAGGGUUUUAUGGAAGCUUGUCUCUGCGUGAAACCCGUCUUCGAGGUAUGUAAAUCUCUAUCUUUCCCGAUUUCAACCUUUGUUUUUUGGUUUUGUUUUUCAGUUUUCAAGUAUCGAAAUCGGUCGAGAACAAACAUGUAUGAUCACUUCUCGUCGAUGAGAUUAUUUUGCAAUUGAAAUCUGUUUUGGGAUCAUGAUUUUAUUUGUUUUCAAACCCUAAUAAUUGCUAUCCGGAUUUUGGAAUCAAGAUUUUUUGUUUUCAAACCCUAAUAAUUUUUAUCCGGAUUCUUGAUUUUGGGAAAUUGGGAACUUUUGGUUUUGUUUUUGAUGUUUUCGUUUUUCUUUCAAAACCCAAAAAGAUUCAUGGGCAGGCACUAACUAAUAGUGUUCUGUCAGAUUCUAUUUGGGGACAUUGUCCCGAGCAUAAUUGUGGAUUGAAUCAGAUGUAUUGGCUGGGUAGUGCAUGCGUGUUGGGAGAUGGAAAUGACCAACGGCUUAAACAAGUCUUAAAGACAGAGGACUAAAGAGUUCACAAUUUUAAUACCAUCGGCUUAGAAAGUAAUAAGACAUAAAGAUUUAAAGACAUUGGGGUGGAUGGUUAUAACGACCACCUAGGACCAACGGCUUAUUAAGUCUGAAAGACAUAGACUAAAGAGUUGCCAUCGGCUUAGAAAAGUGAUAAGACAUAAAGAGUCAAAGACAAUGGGGUGGAUGGUUAUAACGACCACCUCGGACCAACGGCUUAACAAGUCAGAAAGACAUAGACUAAAGAGUUGCCAUCGGCUUAGAAAAGUGAUAAGACAUAAAGAGUUAAGACAAUGGGGUGGAUGGUUAAAACGACCACCUCGGACCAACGGCUUAACAAGUCUGAAAGACAUAGACUAAAGAGUUGCCAUCGGCUUAGAAAAGUGAUAAGACAUAAAGAGUCAAAGACAAUGGGGUGGAUGGUUAUAACGACCACCUCGGACCAACGGCUUAACAAGUCAGAAAGACAUAGACUAAAGAGUUGCCAUCGGCUUAGAAAAGUGAUAAGACAUAAAGAGUUAAGACAAUGGGGGUGGAUGGUUAUAACGACCACCUAGGAUGGAAUAGACCAUCUGCUGAAAAGGAUGAGGGGAUAUGUUGGAUGGUAAAAACGACCAACAGUUUGAAGAUACUUGAUAAAGACUAUAGAGUGUUCAAGACUCGUUGGAUACAACUUAAAAGAAGGCUUAAGAUAAAGACUUAGCCUAAAACAAAUAGGAAAAACAAAGAAAUGCUUAAAAGUCUUUGAGUCUUUAGGCAAAUACAAUCAACAUCAAAGAACGAGGUAAGUAUAGGGGUAUUACUUGUAAUGGAGACUAACCAAUUUUUAUUUCUUCAGGUAUGUGCGUCUGACUACGUUCAAAUUGAUGGACUCUGAGGAGAUUUCAAGACUUUUUUGACAGGUAUGUACUUUUCUAUCUUGUUUGUAAUUAGACAGAGACAUGAAGUAAUGACUAAUUAUAAUUUGUUCAGGUAUAUGCUUCAAAAAGGUGCUUUCUAAUGGUAUAUCCUUUUUUAGACUUUUCUGUGAUAAAUUGAUAUUAUUACAAGUGAAAAUUUACAUAUUUAAGUUGAAUGAUAUAUUUGCCAGAUUCUAGAAACUGAGUGCUAACAUAUCCAUUGAUAAAUAAGUAGAUUUUGCUUUGGUUAUUGGUACAUUACAUUGUGUGUUUCGGUUCUUGUGUGUAUCAUAGGGUCUCACAUUUUAUGAAAUGGAUGCAUCAUGUAGUAGUUUUCUUGAAUAUUGAAUGUCUUUGUUUUACGUUAUGCUCUAAACUCUUGAUGAUUGAUAUUUUGGUACUUUGCAUUAUUAACUGAUGAAUACUGUGUUAGAUUCUGUAAAUUCAUUGAUUAAUAAUAUAUCUGUAUGAGUGUCUAUGCUUUGAUCUCUUAGUGUUACAGAGUUGAUAGAGUUUGAAUCUCUAUUGAAUCACACUAUGUAUUUAUGAUUUUACUUAUGGUUAUUAGAACAGUAUAUUAUGUGUAAAAUACUAAUUAUCUCUGUUUGGUGCUACUCUGUAACUUGUUUCUAAUUUUAUAAAAUAUCUUGUAUUAACAUUAUAUCUUGUAUAGUCUCUUAUAGAUAAUUAUUGUAACGUAGAUGAGACUUGUAGUAGAUUAUGUGUAAACUACUAGUUAUCUCUGUUUUGGUGCACUUAAGGUUUCUAAUUUAUGAAAUGGAUGCAUCUUGUAGUCUCUUGUAUAUAUUUAUUUGAACGUAGAUGAGACUCAUGCAGAUGAUGAUAUAGUAUUUUUCUUGAAUCUUGAAUGUCUCUGUUUUACGUUAUGCUCUAAACUCUUAGUGAUUGGUAUUCUGCAUAAUUAAUUCUGGAUACUGUGUUAGAUUCUAUAAAUUGUACAUGCUAGCUUGAGUCUUUACUAUACAGUGAUUGAAAAUAUCUCUGUUAUGAUAUUAGUGGCUGCUCUUAGUCUACUUGAUGGAGCUUGAAAAUCUAUUGAAUCACUAGAAUGUGAAUUGAUCUUUUUGAUUUCCUUACCAUACUUAUUUGUUUCAAUAACAAUUAAAUAUUCUAUGAUUGAUGUCAAAAUCAGAAAUUAAUACACUUUUAUCAUCCCCACUGUUGGCAUGUGGAAUACGUGCUAUGUUCUUCUCUGUUCUUUAUGUCGACUAAACGUAUUAAAUGUUUGGUUCUUGGACUUGUAAGUUGUUAGACUUGAAAGCUCUUGACUCUCUACUUUAGUACAUAGAAACAUGUACAAAAUCCAGUCUUAUGUUUGUUACUAGGCAAAGUAGUGCAUUGAGUUACUAUUAAAUAACAUUGUAUAAAUGUCUCUGUUCCGUCAUGUUUCUUUUCUAAGAAACAUCACAACUAAUUGGUAAACUAAAUGGCUCAUGUUGAGGCAUCGUACCACUAUAACCUUAUACAUAUCUUGCACAUUUUGUCUAUUUCCAUGUUUUUAUUCAAUCUGUAACCUUUCACGAAAGGAAUAUUUAUUGUUGUUUGUUUUUUAAAGAUGGACAAUUUUAAUUUUGGUUUUAGUUUUGUUGAUAUACAAUGUUUUCUGUAGUGUAGCUUUGUGUUACAUUAUAAGAUCAUAGUUCUUGACUUUUGGUUGGUUGUCUGAAAGUCCUUUGAUCAUUCUUUGGAUGAUACAUACCAUCUUGACUUUUGCUUCUGAAUUCUUUGAAUAUAUAGUGUGGUAAGUUAAUUUAACAAAUUAAGGAUCCAUCGAUCUCCAUGAUUAAUAGGAUCAUUCUAAACAUGAGAAAUAACAUUCUGCAUUAUACACUAAUAAAAAUGUUGUUUUUUUUUACCUUGGUAUUGAAACAUUACAUUGUGUGUUUAAAAUACUAGCUUAUCAUCUUUGUUUUGGUACUUAUAAAUGUAUCAUAAGCUCUCUCGUUUUGCAAAAUGGAUGUAUCUUGCAGUCUCAUGUAAAUGAUGUUAGUAUUUUACUUGAAUCACAAAUGUAUUUAUCUUGCAUUAUGCUCAAAAAUUACAGUCUCGAAUUCUGCAUAAUAAACUGAUGACUACUGUGUUAGAUUCUACCAAUUGUACCAGUUGGCUUGCUUUUUUAACAAUUCAUUGAUUAAAAAUAUCUCUCUUAUGGUAUUAGUGUCUAUGCUUUGGUCUCGUAGUCUUACAGAGUUGAAGCUCUAUUGAAUUACACAUGUAUUUACUCACAAAGUGCAAUGAGUCUUUUCUUGAAUUCUAUACCAUGCCUUAUGUUUUUAUCACACUUUUCUAUGGUUGGUGAUUUGAUGUUAAUAUCAAGAAAUUAGCAAACCUUCAGCAUACGAAAUGAAAUUAUGGAAUUCUGCAUCAUACAUUGAUAAAAAGGGUGAUUUUAUUUAUGUUUACUAAAACAUUAGAUUAUGUGUAAAAUACCAAUUAUCUCUGUUUGGUGCUUGUAUAGUCUCUUGCAGAUAUUUAUUUUAACGUAGAUGAAACUCCUGCAGAUGAUGGUAGUAGUUCUCUUGAAUGUCUUUGUAGAUAUUGUGUUUUCUCUAAACCUUGCCCUUGUUGAUCAUUUUCAGCAUAAGAAACGGCAUUAUGGAAUUCUGCAUCAUACAUUGAUAGAAAGUAAGAUUACACGUAUGGUUUUAGAACAUUAGUAUUAUCUUUGUUUUGGUGCACUUAAGGUUUCUAAUUUAUGAAAUGAUGCAUCUUGUAGUCUUUUGUAGAUAUUUAUUUGAACGUAGAUGAGACUCCUACAGAUGAUAGUAGUAGUUUUUUUGAACCUUGAAUGUCUUUGUUUUACGUUAUGCUCUAAACUCUUGGUAUUCUGCAUUAUCAACUGUGGAUACUGUGUUAGAUUCUAUAAAUUAUACCUGCUACCUUGAGUUUUUACUACAUAGUGAUUGAAAUUAUCUCUGUUCUGAUAUUUGUGUCUGCUUUUAGUCUAAUUGAUGGAGCUUGGAAAUCCAUUGAAUCACUAGAAUGUGUAAUUGAUCUUUCUUGAUGUCAAAAUCAGAAAUUAGUAUACUUUCAUUAUACUUUGCUAUGUUCUUUUCUGUUCUUUAGGUCGACUAAAUGUAUAAUAUGUACUAAUGGUAACUAAUUAUAAAAUCAUAUUCCGAAUAAUGUUAUACAUUAAUUACGUAUAAUAUAUUUGUUCAUAUAAUUUUGGAACUAAUUUCAUAACAAUCAACGUUUUUCUCAUUAAUUUUGUUUAUUUUAGCCAGUUAUAAUUAAUUAAAAGAUAUCUUACUUUCUUCUAGAGAUUUCUAGAAAAUUUAUCACAACUAACCAAUCUAUUUUAUAAAUUAAAUAGAUAUUUUUAUUUUGGUCAUGUAAAUUAAAUAGAUAUGAAAUCUAUGUAACUAAUUUUAAUUUAAUUAGAUUAAAUCAAAAUUAUGGUAUUUUCAUACUUAUAACUUACCAAAGAAGUUUAAUUUUCAAAUUAUAAAGAUUUAUUGAAUAUGAUUUUUAGAAUUAUUCAACAAAAUGAUAAAUAUUUAUUAAAUUUUGUGAAUCAUGAAAAAUAUUAAUUAUUUUUUAAAUAUUAUUUAGUCACCUUUCAAUCUCUCAUCUAACAAAUAAGAUACAUAUUCUAUUAUUCCUAUGUCCAAACUCCAUUGUGUUGUAUGACUAAAUAAUAUUUCUAUUAGAGCUGUCAAAACGAGUUGAUUCGUCCCGUUAAGCCUGUUUUGCAAUAGGCAAAAUAUACUUUGGCAUGUAGUUAGUCUGUCCGCCCGACCCGCGGGUAGCAUAAAUGAAACACAAACCCGUCGCGUGAAUGUAUGCUGAUUUGCGGGGUAAUCCGUGGAUUUUGUUUAAAUAAUUUUAGAGUAACCAAAAUUUAAAAUUCUACUAAAAUAAAUAAAUUAAAAUUUUUUUAGAGAAAAUAAUCUUAUAUAUCAUUAUAUUUAUAAAUAUUAUAAUUUCAUUUAUUAAAAGUUUUUUAAACUACCACAUGUUGAAUAAAUUAUAUUUUUAUCAAUAAAUACUAUCAUGCGGGUUGAUCCGCUAACCCUCGGACGAAAAUCGAUGACUCACUGCGAAUCAAUCCAUGUGGCCCGCUUAUUUGCGGGUUUAAUAUAUUUUCCCAAAUCUGCCCUAUAGUGAGAUGAUUUGGGCUCGACCCGCGGUUUUUGACCGAUUUUGACUGCUUUAAUUCCCAUGAUUCGUCUAAUUUUUGAAUUCUAAAACACAAAAUUCCAUUAUGUAAAUCAUAAUUAAUAUGAUUGGUUUAAUUAUAAACAAUUUAAUAUUUUCUUUACAAUUUGUUAUUAAGAAUAUUUAUAAGUACACUACACGAUUCGUUUUACUAAAAACACGCACAAUAUUAAAAUCAACGUAUGUAAAUCAAUACUAAAAAAGUGAUCAUACUAAGAAAGAAAUCAGCAAACCUUUUAAGAUCCAAUACUAAAAAAGUAAAGAGUCAACAAUUACUCUCCGAAAAUGAAGCUGAGAACAAAUCACGGGUGUUGAAUAAAAUUCACGUGAAUUAUAAUAGGGAGACUCACAAAAAUGCCCCUUUUUCAAUACCCCUUUUCAAAAAUGCUUCCUUUGGAUGUCUAUUUUUAAAAAUACCCCUUUUAUGUACAAAAUGACUAAAUUACCCUUCUUUUAAUAAAAGAUAUCAUAAAUAUAUAAGGAAAUAUAACAAAAUUAGGUCCACAAAAUACAAAAUAUUUUUUGGCGGGAAAAGUGAUCCCCCAAUUUUUCCCGCCAAAACACUUGUAAAAAUUUGUAAAACCUUUAAAAUACCUUGUAAAAUUUUCCCGUAAAAUUUUUUCCCGCCAAAAAAUUUUCCCGCCAAAAAAUUUUUUUUGCGGGAAAAGUGAUUCCGCAAUUUUUUUGGCGUUAAAUUUUUGGCGGGAAAAUUUUUCCCGCCAAAAAUUUACAAGGUAUUUUAAAGGUUUUUUACAAGGUAUUUAUAAGGUUUUACAAUGUAUUUUAAAAGGUUUUACAACGUAUUUACAAGGUAUUUAUAAGAUUAUAAGAUUUUACAAGCUAUUUUAUAAGGUUUUUACAAGUUAUAAGGUUUUACAAGUUUUUUAUAAGGUUUUACAAGUUAUAAAUACCUUAUAAAACCUUUAAAGUACCUUGUAAAACGCUUUUAAAAUACAUUGUAAAACCUUACAAAACACUUGUAAAUACCUUGUAAAAAACCUUUAAAAUACCUUGUAAAUUUUUCCCGCCAAAAAAAUUUCGCAAAAAAAUUGCGGAAUCACUUUUCCCGCAAAAAAAAUUUUUUGGCGGGAAAAUUUUUUGGCGGGAAAAAUUUUUACGGGAAAAUUUUACAAGGUUUUUUAAAGGUUUUUUACAAGUGUUUUGGCGGGAAAAUUGCGGGAUCACUUUUCCCGCCAAAAAAUAUUUUGUAUUUUGUGGACCUAAUUUUGUUUCAAAUAAGGGUAAAAUAGUCAUUAAAAAUUAAAAGAGGGCAAACUUAAAAAUGGACUCUCAAAGGGAGCAUUUUUGAAAAGGGGUAUUGAAAAGGGGGCAUUUUUAACAAUUUCUCAUUAUAAUAUUACAAAGACGAGAUGGAUUAUUGGAUUAUAUUUAUACGUUACUUACCAGACUUACGACCAUUAUAAACAUUAUUUUCUUACGACCAAUCAAAUCUCGAUUUCGGUGGGACUAACGAUCGUGUUUCACGUCACUGAUUCUGACUUUUGUGGUUAAUUACCUGAAUUUACGAGUAAGCAUUUACAUCAAACUUUAUGUAUUUGUCUUCAAAUUUUUUAGAUUUUCUUUUGUUGUAAAUGUUAUGUCCUAAAGUUGUUUUUGGGACUCUUUCAUACAUAGGAUGUUAAUAUAUUACAGUAUUAAAUUAAAUGCUUUACCUGUUAAUGGACUAACGACCAUUACAUGUACUUAGUGGUUUAAUUUGUGUUAGUGUUGUGAAUAUGUACGACAAUGAUACCAAAAAAAAAAAGGUACAACUACUAGAUUUUCUCCCAUGCAGAAUACUGAUAGAAAUUAAUUGACUAGUGUCUGAUUAGAGUCGGCUCUAAGCCAAACCGAUGAAACUUGGGUUUGGGGUGCUAGGUGGUUUAAAAUUUUUUGGCCAUAUUAUUCAUGUGGACUGAUUGGAUGAUCAAUUGGUGUUAGUAUACAAGAUCACUCAGUGUGUAAUUAAGUUUAGGUAAAUCCGUGAAGAUAAGUCUUAUCAUUUUCUGUAUAUUACUAUUUACUCAUCACUCAAAGCUUUGAUUUGAUUUUAUCUUUGUUGAUAAACCUUUGUUUUAAGGAAAAGAAUAAGAAAACUAAUAAAUCACAAAUCUAUAAUAUUUUGGAAAUUCAGUUUAAAAUUCUCCUAUAAAUCUAUAAAGUCAUAGAACUAACAAAAAAAAUAUCUAUAAAGUCAUAAAAUGCAUUUGAUCUCUUGAUCUUUUUUUUUUUUGCUAUCAAAUUUUCUUUUGUUAAUUCUGAAAUUCAAGAUUUAAUACUAAAGAAUUUAUUCUAGAUUUAUCUUAUUUUAAGGGAUUUCUAAGAUUAAUUGUGUGAGAUUAAUUGACUAAUGAAUAGAAGAAAGAUAAACCUUCCAAAUUCGGCCGUACCUCACCAAAAUAACUUUACGUUAACCAUACAUAUUUAAUAAUAUACUAGAUUUUAACCCGCGGUACACCGCGGGACUAUAUUUUCUUAAAAAAAUCAAAAUGUAAUUUGUUUGAUAGAUUAUUUUGAUUGUUAAUUUUAGGAUUUCACCCGUGGUAUACUAUCUUUUAUAAAUAUCAACCCAAACCCGUCCCAUCAUAUUACCCGUCCCGUGAAAUUAAACAUCAUUUAGUUAUUUUUCUUUUUAAUAAUACUUUUAUUUAAAAGCUAUAUAAUUCAAGUCAAUUUAAAAAUUUCUUUUAAAUGGUUCCCAUAAGAUAUAUAUACAUAUAUAUUAAAUUUGUAUAGAGUUGAAAUAAUAUUAAUAUUACAAACUUUUUAUAUAAUUUAAAUAUUAUAAAUAUUUUUAAAAAUAUGCAAUAUAUAUUUUUUGUUAUUGAAUAAGAGGAUAUUAUGUGUAAGAAAUGUAGAAAAUAAGAGUUUAAUAUUUUUAUUAUGGAGUCGCAAGAAAAAUCUUUUAUUUCUAUACAUGUUAUUCGUUUAUUAAUAAUAAAAGAAAACAAAUCCUUUAAAUUAGAUAUUAACUAAAAUAAACGCACCAUAAUUACUUAUUAAGUAACAACCAAUAAAUUUCAUCAAAAAAUAGGUAACAACCAUAAAAUUCUAAACGCAGUAAUUAAAGAAUGAGAUAUUAAAAAAAAUUAUCAAAUAAGAUAUAAGAAUCUUAAAAUAAUUGAAUAUCUAAAUAAUUUAAUUGUUAGUGUCGAUUUUAAUGCCUUCAUUAAUGUGGAUUUUUUUUUUUACAGAGAAAUAUUUCCUAAAGAUUAUCACAUUAAUGACUCAGAAAAUUAAGGAAGAUAUGAAUUUAUGAUUCUCGAAAUCGUGUUGGUAAUAUCUUUAAUUAAUAUUUUUCAAAUUUAAAUAAUUUAAUGUCAAUGGCAUUCAUCCGUAAAUACAUUCCAACUCCAGGAUUUAUUUGCUAAAAGUCAUCCAAAAAUGUAUAUAUAGAUAAUCUCAAAAAUAGUUGCAGAGCCUUUCUUAAUUAUUUUUUUAGGCCUACAUAAGGAGGAAGAACAAUCAGAAUUGAGAUCACAGAACCAUAAGUUCCAAAAAAAUUCACAAAAACAUAACAAAAUGUUGCCUUUUCGUUAUAGCUUCGUCGUUCUGACAUUACUCUCUGUUUUGUUAACUCUAGCCUAUGGUCUACCUAGGGUAAGACCAAUCAAAGAUGUCCAACCGAAAAAAACGCUAAAGGUUCACAACCAGAUCCGAGCCGCGGUCGGGGUGGCUCCAUUGAAGUGGAACAGAACAGUAGCGGCCUAUGCACAGAAGUUCGCAAAUAGACAAGCCAAAGCCGGAGUCUGCGACUACAGCUCCAUGAGACAUUCUGAUGGACCUUACGGCGAGAAUAUCGCUGCGGGAUGGGUCCAACCUGAAGACCAAAUGAGCGGUCCGAUCGCGGCAAAGUAUUGGUUGACGGAGAAGCCAAACUACGAUUAUGCGACCAACAAGUGCAAAGAUGUUUGCGGACACUACACUCAGAUGGUGGCCAAUCAGUCGUUCAGUCUCGGAUGUGGCUCGUUCAGGUGUCAUGAGAAUGAGUUAAUUUAUAUUGUAUGUAACUAUUAUCCUAUGCCAGUGGGUGAUGAGAAUACACGUCCUUAUUGAUUAUGUUGAUGUGAAGAAAUGAUCCAUAUGGUAAUGUGAUUUGACAAUAAUUAAUAUGUUAAGUUACUGAUCCAUUAUAUGUAUAAGACUAUAAAACCAAGUUUAUGAUCUAUUGGUUUGUAUUAUUAGUGUUGUUGCUGUGAAAUCAUUCAGAAUAAUAUGUGAUGGUCAAUUUGGUUAAAUAAAUUGUGGUUACAUACAUUUCAUAUAAUAUUUUAUGAACUUUUUGUUAUAGAAGAUUUUCAAUAUUUUCGUAAAGUAUAAUCGGAGUUAUUUCCCUUUGUAUUUAGUCCGUUGGUAUCUAGAGCUAGUAAAUCAGUUGUGAAAAGAAGUAGCUAAGAGACAUGAAAUAUUGUGCUUCCGGUAAAUUUGAUUACGAGUAUUUAGAUAAUUAUGGUUCUUUUUUUUUUGAAGAGCAUGCCCAAUUAAUUUAGAAGUAGUCACAAUUCUAGCAGAAAUUAUGGAGCAAAUUUCUGUCUUGGGGAGCUUUAUGAUGCGGUUAAAGCGGGCUAUGCGACUCUAAGCAUCCUACAUAUAAUAGAGUAGAUAAAAGUUCUAUAGCCUGUGGACAUCAACAUUUCUUUAACUUUAAAAUGAUUAAAAGUUGUCUACUGGGUCGGUUUAAUAACAGCUUAUCAUCUUCCUAAUUCUAAAAGUACUAAGUUUAUUGAAAUAGAGUUAAAAGGAACCAAAAGAGCGAUGUUUUGACUUUUCAAGAAACACAAUGAUGCAUAGUUUUAACUUUUAACAUGACGUUGAGUUUCGAGGAAUCAUUGCAUCCGACAUAUAUGGGAGGAAACGUUUUGUUUGUAUUUUGAAAGCGGAGAUAUUGGAUAGCACAUAAUUUGUUAAAAUCAGAAUGGAUUGCAAUUAUCCAAGAAGUUCCAUGCGAUAUACAAUUCUAACUCUAUUGUUUGGUGCAUCUCCAAAGAUGAAAAGAGAGAAAACCUACAAAAAUUUCCGUGGAUUUUAUAGUUCAUUUAGAAAAGGCUUGAUAAAAGAAUAUAUUUAAAGGUUCGAUUUGGGAACCUCCCACAAGUUGAUUAGACUAAAAAGGACCUUAGUAAAGAUGGUGAUUCCGUCUACAAACAACCAGAACUUUCAUCAUCCGUUGAACCAUGUCGAAACAAGAUGCUGAAAAAUAGUUUUUAGAGACUAGAUAAUCUCGAUUAAUCGGUUUAUAUAAGUUUUGUUUGGAUUUGUAAAAAUUAAGAUGGCGAGACGAUCUUUUGGAAACUACAUCAGUCACUAGCAGAGAAUUUUUUUGACCCCUUCACACGGAGUUAGAAGCUAGCGUCCAUCUAGUAAAUGAAGUACAUCACUAGACACCAGCUAAAAUGUAUUCGUAAAGUAACCUUGUUUAUUUUUUUUUCAUCUGGUAAAUAUUGAAUUGAAAUGUUUACAAAUUACAAACAGAGGAGAAAACAGCUUAGAAACAUAAGAGAAACAAAUGUCAUUACCAAUCCUACACUUAGACCAUCUCCGAGAAAAACGACAUCGUUUUACUCUGUUUACUAUAAUCCCAAUUCGACGGCCACGAUGAGCUAGACCACUGUAAAUCAGGUGGUCGUGGCACCACCAGAUCAACGAUCUGAGUUCUUCCUUCUUCGCUCAUACUCAUACGCUAAAUUCUGAUUGAAGAAUUCGUUCGCGCUUUUCUAUUUGAUUCUCCUUGGAACAACAGAGAUCAGACUCGAAUCCGUAACACCAUUGUUGAUUCUCUAAAGCAUCUGCUGAUUUCAAUCGUGAAAUUAGCCGGUGGUGCAUGGAAGCUCCAUUAACGGAGAGUUUGUUUCAAUUCUGAUUCAUCAAUGGCGUCUUGGCUCAAAGCUGCCGAAGGUAAUAUUGUAGUGGUUUAUUUGCAAUUCAAAUUCGUGAUUACAAAUUUUGAAGUUUCCGUUAAAUUUUUCGUCAGAUUUAUUUGAGGUUGUGGAUCGAAGAGCAAAAUCUGUGGUUGAAGAGCUUUCGGAAGAACAGACUGAUUUGCAGUUGCCAGGUACUGUGUAGAGAUUACUCUGAUAGAACUAAAAGCUUUCUCUUUGGUACUGGUUUGAUCUGUAUGUGAUUAGAAACAUAGGCAUUGUCCUGGAGUUGAUCUAAAGCAAAGUUUGAUGGUCAAAUCUUUAUAAUUUUGAAACUUGUAGUCAUGUGUAUAUGUCUCUUAUAUUGUGUAUGUCUUUCUUUGGGGUGGCUAAAGCUUCUGGUAGGAAAGGGUCUCAAGGGAAGAGAACAAGUUCAAAGAAAAAGGUAUUACUGUGGAUCUCUUAUCUGUAAGUUGAUCUCGUUGUUUGGUACAUCGAUACUCAAGAUGAACUUCUUUGUUGUGGAAUGUAUUUGUAGGCUCGACAGAAACUUGUAAAAGAAGAAUCUUCUAAUAAAAGAGAUUUUUCUGGUGAUCAAUCUGGCCCAGGGGUAUCACAGUCAGAGGUGCCUCCAUCCAUUGACGAAGCAUCUUCAUCAGGGCCUGUCUUGCAGACAAAUGAGAUUAGGACUGAUGCAGAUGUCCAGAGUGUCCAAUCACUUCCACAAUCAGUGGCAGAUACAAAAAGUGAUGAUGCUGCUGUGGUAGGUUCAGAAUCUGUUGUGGACGGUGAUGGAGCUGAGUCAAAGCAUGCUGAUGGAGAUAUUCCAAAUGAUUCUUUGGUGCAACCAUCACCAUCUUUACCUGACAAAGAAAUUGAGGUCGCUGUCAGUGAGAACCUCGUUGAUGCUCCCAAAAAUGGCGCACAACGAGAGUUAGUUGAUUCUUCAAAAAGAGAUCUGGAGAAACUGGAAUCUGUAGUGCAUGUUCCUUCGGUUGGUGAAGGGAAUGUGGCUCAAAGCACGGGCGAUGAGGUGAAAGUUGGCACUUCAAUCAAUCUGGAGAAAGAACAGGAACCGGAAGUUCCUGACACCUCAACCAAUCUGAAAAGAGAGCAAGAUCGUAGAGCUGAUACGACUUCCGUGAAGAUUCAAGAUCAACUUGAAGAGGUUAGUUAGUCUAUGGAAAUGAAGAAAAUAGAAAAUGCUAUGGCUGCCACUUAAAUUUCCAUGUAUGUUGUCUUCUUAAAAGUCUGUUGAUCAAUCUAUUCACUUAUUCUAGGCUCAGGGGUUGCUAAAAGCUACCGUUUCCACUGGGCAGUCAAAAGAAGCAAGGUUAGCAAGGGUAAGCUCAAAUAUCCUUCGCUACUUUCCUGCAUCAAAUAGUUGAUAAUGUACUCUUUCAUAUGUAAGAUAGGAUUUAUCCAUGUCUGUGGUUGGAUCUGAGCAAUCUCAGAUGUAUGCAUUUUUUGUUUAUGCAUUUUUUGUCUUCAUCUCUUCUAGGUUUGUGCUGGACUUUCAUCCCGUCUUCAAGAAAUUAAAGCGGAAAAUGCACAGUUAGAAGAGCUUCUCUCUGCAGAGGUAAAUUUCAACAGUUUUGAGUUUCUUUUGAUACUCUAAGGUGCUCUCAGUGCACCUAAUUUUUUAUUUUUUUUUCUGUAAUAGCAAGAGCUUACCAAGUCAUAUGAAGCUAGCAUUAGACAGUUGCAAAAAGAUCUGUCAGCUGCUAAAAGUGAAGUGACGAAAGUAGAGUCAAGCAUGGUUGAGGCACUAGCAGCUAAGAACUCAGAGAUAGAAACACUUGUCAGCGCAAUGGAUGCCCUGAAAAAUCAGGCUGCUCUGAAUGAAGGAAAAUUGUCGUCUCUCCAGGUUUCUUGGCCUCUCAUUUACUCAUUUUUCUUUUGUGUGCUUCCUAUCAUAGCAUACCAUGAGUAUUUAAUGGUCCUAGUUACUUAUCUCUUCAGUUGCCAUUUUCUUUUUUCACCCAACCUGCUUUUAAUAAAAUCAUUUACUACUUCUAUCAGGGAGAUAUGGAGUCUAUUUUGAGAAACAGAGAAUUGGCUGAGACUAGGAUGAUGCAGGUAUUACUAAUUUUUUUUUCAUCAAUGACUACCAAUAAUUUACCGCCAUGUAUAUACAAUUAGAAACAUAUAAGGUCCUCAGACCAUUGAAUCAAUAUUUUCUUAUUACAGGCAUUGCGGGAGGAGCUUGCCACUACUGAAAGGAGAGCCGAAGAGGAGCAUUCUGCGCAUAAUGCCACAAAAAUGGUUUGUUGCCUGAACGAUGCGAAAAUUGUUUAUAAUGAAAACAUUAUAUCAAUUUUUUUUUCUUACAUGAAUUGUUGAUUCUAAGACAGGCUGCCAUGGAAAGGGAAAGGGAACUAGAGCACAGGGCUGUGGAUGCUUCCACAGCACUUGUUAGAAUUCAGGUGAGACAGAAUUCUUGGAUAGACCGCUACUAUCACUUGUUUACAUUUCAAAUAGGCCAUCCAACUUGAUAUGCUGUUAGUUUCUGAGUGUUGGCUUUCUCUUCUUAAAUUGUUUUCUCCUUCUUUUCGGCAUGGAAAUUCAGAAAACCUUUGUAUUUUCAUAUGCUACAUAUAUGAACGAUGUAAAGAUUCUAUGUGGAACUCUUGUUUCCCAAAAACUACUUUGAUCUGACUUUUUAAUUGGAUGGUAUUUCAGAGAAUUGCUGAUGAAAGGACAGCGAAAGUGGCAGAUCUUGAACAGAAGGUGGCAUUGCUUGAGGUAGAUGAACUUAUCUUCAAUGCAAUUUGUUCCCUCAUAUACUUGAAUUUCAUUCAAAGAAUUGACAAAUAAUACUCAGGCCGAAUGUACAUCUCUGAAUCAAGAGCUGCAAGAUAUGGAAGUUCGUGCUCGCAGAGGACAAAAGAAGGCCCCAGAUGAAGCAAACCAAGUGAUCCAGGUAUGUUAUAUUAGGUUAUCAUGAUCUACAUCGUGGAAGUUACCUUCAACAAUGAGUUCUUAGCACACUUUCAAAUUUUCUUUUAGAAGGAAAAACUACAGAACAUAUUUCCAAAAUGUACUUAUAUGCAAAAAGUAUUUAUGAUCCCUUGGUAACUCUGAUAACUCAUGUAUGUGAGUUUAAAUCUUCUACUGGAUUUUAUGGUGGGUCGUUUUCACAUAAAAAAUUACAUGGCGUUGUCAAAAUCUACUCCAGCUUAGUACAUAAUUCUUGAAAACAACUUUUAUCAAUUUUGAGAAGUUCAGAUUUUGGCUAAUCCAGAGGAGUUACUUUUAAUAAUGCAGAUUCAAGCAUGGCAGGACGAAGUGGACCGUGCUCGGCAAGGUCAAAGAGAUGCUGAGGAGAAACUUUCUUCAAUGGAGGUAUGUAUGUUACUUACCUCGGAAUUCUUUAUAACAUGAUUUUUGUUGUUUACACACGAUCUGUUUCAUUGUUAUAGGCUGAAAUGCAAAAGUUGAGGGUUGAAAUGGCAGCCAUGAAGAGGGAUGCAGAACAUUACUCACGCCAGGUAAUAUCGACAGUUUCUGAGAGUCUGUCUCUUCUUGUCAAUGCAUUAACAGUUUCUGAUUUUUUUCGUUUCUCCUAGUCUAUACUUAUGGCAUGUCCUAGUUACUACUCUUUUUCUAUAAAGUGGCUUAGGCAGACCUGAUAGUUAUCUGUUAAACCCCUUGGCGUUUUUAUUUCAUUGAAUGCAAUAAAUUUCAUUGCCCAAUAAAAUACUUAUGAAUAUUUUGUGGGAAAGACCCACUCUACUUGUUAACACGUCUUGUGAUUAUGACAGACUCAUUCGAAUGGUUGCUAAACAAAAGUGCCUACAAUUAAUUGAUUUAUCUUAAAUUUGCUCGUCAAGUGGUAUCUUUAAUGCAUAUGAUUAUGUGACAUGAGUUUAAUCGUUAUAUCCCUGACCUAGUAGGAGCACACGGAGCUGGAGAAACGCUACCGUGAACUAACAGAUUUACUGGUAACCUGAACUUCUUGAAUGUACUGAUUCUAUAGAUCAAAGUCAUAUUGGGAAGUUGUCUGAUAGCUUCUGGCCAUGGGUUUUGAUUCAGUACUAUAAGCAAACGCAACUAGAGACUAUGGCGAGUGAGAAGGCUGCAGCGGAGUUUCAGUUGGAGAAAGAGGUCAAACGUCUUCACGAAGCACAGGUCCGACGUCAAAGCUCUCUACGGUUCAUAUAUGUACUUUUACUUUUUAUAAUAUUUACAAGGAAGGUUCUAAACUUGUUGAUUCAGGUAGAGGUAGAAAGAAGCAGAGUUUCGCGACGCCCAUCAGCAACUUGGGAAGAAGAUUCUGAGAUUAAGACACUUGAGUAUGUCUUUUAGCUAUGUCUGUGUUCUAAGUAACCUAGAAUAUGAUGCUGAUAUAUAUGUUGAGUUUGUUGUUCGAUAUUGACCGAAAACAAUUUCAGGCCUCUUCCAUUGUAUCACCGACACAUGGCUACAGCGAGCACACAGGUAGAGAUUUGGGAACCCAUUAAGAAAAACUCUGCUUGUCGGCGUUCUCUUUUAACUUUACUCUUAUGUUUGCUUUGUUCGCCUUCUGUCUUCAGUUGCAGAAUGCCGUGAAACUGUUAGACUCAGGAGCUGUAAGGGCCACUAGGUUCCUUUGGCGGUACCCAAUAGCACGGAUUUUCCUACUUUUUUACCUUGUAAGACGCUCGCUUAUCUAUUCAAUCUCAUUCGCCUUACUUGUGAAUUUAUGGUACAUCAAAAUGACAUCUUUUAUGAAUUUACAGGUCUUUGUUCAUCUCUUCUUAAUGUAUCUAUUACACCGACUCCAGGUAUGUUUGGUCCUUUUACACUGAAUAUCACAUCAUAGUCAUGGAACUCAACUUCUUGUCGUUCCUAAAUCUCAUCCUCUUGUAGGAGCAAGCCGAGGCCCAGGAAGUUGCUGAAAUGACCAACAACGUUUUCAGACCAUAACAGAUUCCAUGAGAAGCAACAAAUGGGGUUUUAAGAGAUUGCUGAGUGAGAAAUGUGGAAGAAAGAGGCAUAACUAUGGAUUAAAUAGAAGGCUUUAAACUUUUUAUAUAGAGGCUAUAGCACAGAUUGUUUUUUUUUUCUCUUCUAACCCGUGGGUAUGGUAAAUGGGGUUUAUACACGCUGUUUGAUAGGCAUGGUUGGUUUUAAAAGCAUUUGAAUAUAUGUCUGUUGAGCCUAAUUUUAGUUCAGUUUGCUUAUUUUCUAAAGGCCGAACUCGGUUUAGUUUGGUCACAGUAAGCUAAUUGAAACGAAAAUUUCAAUUCAGAAAAUGGAGAAAACAAGAGGAAAGGUUCAUCAAAACCUUAAUAAACAAACAACAAAACCAUUUGUUAGUAAAUGGCAAAAGAAGAGGCUUUUCUGUCUGUUAAAUGACUCAUAUAACCAUCUUUAUGCUUAACAUUGCCGUCUCAACAGCUUCAUAUUGGUCAUCUGAAGAUAAGUAUAAAAACAAACAGCUUUAAGCGGGCAAAAGUAAUGACAGAAAAAAUCUACAAGAUGCAGAGCCAACAAGACAGACGAAUGUUAUAUUACCGAUUUAAAGGUGGAAAUUUUAAGGGAAAAGCGGCUGGUGUAGGAGCCCUGUUGUUUCGGGAUAUCCCAACAUUAUGUUAAGAUUCUGCAAUGCUUGUCCUGAAGCUCCUUUCACGAGAUUAUCAAUCUGCAACACCAAAGAACUUUUAUAUACAAAAUAACAUCGUCGAAAGCUAAAGAUGAGUUUAUAAUAGAGGAUGGUUAUGCCUAAUUACCACUGAGAUUAUGAUAGCUCUUCCGGGGAUUCGAUCAGGAAAGACACUCAUAUGACAAUAGUUGGAUCCUCUAACGUUGUGUGUCCGAGGAACAACUCCUUCAUCCAACACUUUGACAAAUUCUUCAUCCUACAAAACAUUUUUGGAACAUAAAUAAGUAACAAAAGUAGUAACUGUGGCUUACAACACAAGAGUAAUCAUCACCUCAUAAGACAUCCUCAAUUGAUGGUGUAAGUCUUCGGUUCUAACCCCGGGAGCCAUUUCCACAUAUAUAGUCGAUUGCAUUCCACGGAUCUACCCAGACAACUGGAAUCAGUUAAUGGGUUUUAAGGCAAAAAAUAUAGAAAUCAUGCUUAAGAUUAUAUGUACCAUUGGCAUGAGAUGCGGCGUAAAACUGACAGUUACUUUUGAUUGUGCAACAUCAGAUAAUCCCUGUUCAAUUUCAGGAACUGCAAAACAAAAGAGAUAUUGAAUUCAAAUCAUAGCAAAAUUUCCAACUAAUUGUGAUAAUUAUUUUGUGACAUACCAUGGCGAUGCCGGGUGACCCCAUAAGAAGAAAUGCCUUCAGCUAUCUCAGAGUAAAGAUUCGCCUCCUUAGCACCACGUCCUGAUGAAAAUUUCAUAUCAGUCAAGAAACUAGAAACACUGCAUCAUUGUUCAUUAAAAAGAUCACAGAGUAAGCGCAAACCUGCUCCACUAACACCAGAUUUUGCAUCGAUAAUAAUGUUUUCAUGUUUGAUGAGAUUUGCCUGCACCAAAAUCAACACAUUGAGUAGAGUUGAAUAGAAGACUAGGCAGUCAAAUAAAAUCACAUUCCAGAAUAGAAUAUAAAAAAAAAACCUUUAUUAAAGGAACAAGAGGAAGUUGAAUCGUAGUAGGGUAACAGCCUGGGUUAGCAACAAGUCGUGCCUUUUUUAUGUCCUCCCUUAGUAUCUCUGUUAGACCAUAUACAACUUCUUUCUGAACCCAGUAUGACACUAGGUAAGUAUAACCAUUAUGAACACAACAUACCUAAAAUCAAGCAGUAGCAUUGAGAGAAAUGUACCUGUAACUCUACUGCCUUGUGUGGCUGACCAUACCAUUCUUCAUAUUCUGCAAUAUUACGCAACCGGAAGUCCUGAAAAGCGUAUUUUAGAUGGGCAUAUAACUGAAAAAAAAAAGAACCAAAAAAACCAUUUCUUCAAGGAUUACCGCUGAAAGAUCAACUAUUUUUAAUGCAGUAGGCAGUUCCUUGAUGAUUUCCUGUCAAAAUACACACACUCAUUUCCGUUAAGCUAAGAAAAGCUUUUAAAAAAAUUGAGAUGGAAGAAUGAAAGGAAAAUGGACCUGGGUUGUUCCGUGAGGCAAACAGCAGAAUACAGCAUCCACAGUAGAAAAAUCUGCAUCCUUUACCAAGAUCAAACUAGGUAGUUUCUGAGGACAGGAAAAAUAUCUAAUCAUUGAUCACUAUACACCAUCACAAAGUAUCAUUUGAACAGAUUCAUUACUUGGAAUUUUACUAGGGAUAGAGAUCACUUAUACUUGAGCUCUGAGGUGUGGGAAAACGCUUUCCAUUGACUGGCCAGCUUUUCUAUCAGCAGUCAUCAGAGUGACCUGGAAAUGCGGAUGGUUUGCUAGAAGCCUGACGAUCUGCCGUUCAAUAAAGAAGGGAUUCCAAAUCAUUUGUUAAAAAUCAAAACUUACCAUCUCAUGCAUUUGAAUCAAAACUUGAAAUGCCUUAUCUAUUCUUUUAUUGGAAGAAGCUAAACUUUGCAUAUGUUCACUAGUUAAGCUAAAUAACCUUAAAACCGAUGACUAUAAGGCUCUUUUUCUUCCUUUUGUUGGAAGAAGCUAAACUUUGCAUACUUUCACUAGUUAAGCUAAAUAAGGAGGACAAUACCCAAAAAGCAACAAACUUGUAACAAGGUGCAUACCACUUAAGCUCUGAUUAAUUUCAAAACCAAAGAGAUCACUAAAACAAACAAUUCCACGGAAAUUAAAGACAGGUUCAACAUUGCACAAACCUCAGCACCAGUGUAGCCACUUGCACCAAGAAGACCAAUCCGAAUAUCCUUUUCAGGUUUAACAGAACUACUAGCUGAAACUCUGAAGCUCAUUGAAGAUGGAGAAGCCACAUGGGAUCCCAAAGAAAGCUUCUUGACUCGUUUAUCAGCUACACGAAUUCUCCUUUCCCCCUUUUCAAAACAGAGAAAACCCAGAUUUUAUCAGAUUACAGAAACACAAAACAAGCUACAAUGAGCUUAAAUAGGAUCAAAACUAGGUUGAAUUUCAUCAAUGAGGAUUCAGUGGAAAAAUCAGAAACUAGAAACAGAGAGAUUUUAAGAGUUUUAGAAUUGACCUUGAACCAGCAUCCUUGGAUUGAACUAAAAGUUGACGCAGUACUCAUUCUUGGAUUUGAUUCUGCAACAAUUCAAAACUCAGAAUCGAACUACCAAUUCACCAAACAGGAACAAAAAAAGGACGAAUUUUUUUGCUCAGGAAGAAAUUAACUUCUCUCAAUGUGUGAUUUGAGAUUGAGAGUCAAUUAUGGUAGUGAAAUCAAAUACCCGUUAACUCUUCGUCACUCUCUCUCUCUCUCUCUCUCUAUACGAAGUGGUCGGAGAAGUUCGACGGAGAAGAAGACUGCAGAAAAAACACGACAAAGAUUGUGGGAUGAAACGCAAAAAACGACGUCGUUUCAGCUAGCCAUACUUAAAAACCUAUAUCAAACGACGCCGUUUAGAGGAAAAAACCCGUGGACUUUAACGGGUUACCCGGAGGUAGACCCGGUUUAUCUACGGAGCGAUAACGACGAAUUAAACGUUUGCAGAAACGCGAUAAUUUCUUGGCGUUUGCAUCAAGUGACGACAAGAAUAUGGCAUUUUGGUAAAUAUAGAACUAAGAAAAACAGUUAAGAGAAUUUGUUUCUACGGAGUCAAAAGAAGAAAUCUAGAGAAAAAGCUCCAAACUUUUUUUCCGGUUUCUUCUGUCGUCAAAUCAAUCACUAACAGUGGGAACAGUCUCUGUUUCUACUGGGUAUUUUCGCAAAACCCUUAAAACUCUCAAGUAAGAGAGAAGAAGAAGAAGAAGAAAGUGUGAGAUUCCGACGAACAAACGGGAAUAAAAAUGAUAACUUUACGCGGCGCUGCUUCUACGAGGUCAAGGAUCGCUCUUUCGGGUCGGAUUGAAACAGCUUUAGAGAAUAUCUACAGAAAAUUUAAUCUUACUCCGAUUAAUGAUGAGACGAGACAGAGACUGUCUUCCAUUCCUGAGAAUUUGGGUUUUGAGUUGGUCAGGAAUGUUUUUAGUUUGCAGGCUGGUUUGAUAUACAAUCUCGACAGCUUCAUCGUUUCUAAAGUUAACCAAGCCGUUAAUUUUACUGGCUAUCCACGGCUGAGCUCAGGUGUGUCUCCGGCGAACUCUCGUAGUCCCUCUGGAAGACACGUGUGCAGGGUUCUUCAAGGUUAGUAUCAGAAUUUAGAAGACAACCCAUUGUAAUAGUAAAAAUCUUUACUUUGUUAUGAUUUGUUGGCGAUUGCAGAAGAGAUGUCUGUUGAUUCUGAUGCUCCUUCUCCUAAGUCUUUGAAAAGUGAAGAAAAUGGAGGAUCUCUGCACAUUCCACAGCUGGUAGCUUUGGGUGAACUUGAAUUUAAGAAGGCGUUUUUGUUACUUAGCUAUAUUCCAGGGUAAUGUUUGUGAUGCAAGUUUUCCAAUUUCUUACUACAUCUCUAUAAUCUCUAAGUGUUUGGUUUUGGUGGUGACAACUACCUUUUUUGGUAAUACUUAACUUUUUUUUCCUUUUGAUGUUAUGCAGGCAACAACUGGGCCAGGUUACAACUGCUGAUGAGAUUAGACUAUGGAAAGAUUUGCCAAUGGUUGCAUAUGAAGCAGCCGUUUGGGACCGUUUGGGGCGGCGUUAUUGUCCUCAAACAGACCGAAGAAUGGUAUGGUUCUAAUUCUACAUAUUGGGUAUUUUUAUAUUUUCAUGUUUGCAUUUUUGAAGUAGAGACUCGGUGUUAACUAAAAGAAAUAUUUCGUACUGCUACAUAUUUCAUGAGAAUUUGAGUUUGGUAUCAAAGUUGUAUUAACUGCAUCUUCUGUCAUGCUUCAUUUCCCCAGUUGCAAUGGGAUAGUGGCAAGACCCAUUACUAUCAGUGUCAUGUUGCUCCCGAUGGUAGCUACACAUUCAAGGUUCAUUCAGCUCUUUAAGUACUAUCUUUCAUGCUUGCUUUUUCCAUGUGGCAUAUGUACUGUGUCAAAAUUUUGAUUCAAUACCUAAUUCAAGAAGCCGUAGGAGCAAUUCUUUGCAAGUCGCUAUCAUAUGUCUAUUAAACAUUGUAUCUUAAUAGUAGGAUAAAGUCCUUGACAUUGACUCAAUAUACUGGUACUUAUCGACAUACUGUGUUCACAGGGCCCCCUUCUUGAACACACUGGAACACACUUGCACAAGGUCUUGGGUGAUGAAAAUGUUUUAACUGUCAAAUUCGCGGAUGUCCCGAAAAACUCAUCAACAUAUAGCAAUGACCGUUACUUUACAUACAAAGAAAUUGCCAAGAACGGUAUCAUGAUUGGUUUACGUCGUUAUCAAUUCUUUGGUGGGUUUUUUCCCUUUUCCUCUUGAUUAACUACCAUUUAUGUCGUUACACAUACACAACUAUUCAUUGUAAUGUUGCUAAGUUAUGUCUACCUAUACACAUAUCAUACUCUUGCUUUAGAUUUAGAACCCGUUAUUUGUAGCUCUUUCUAACAUUCUAUUGAACAGUUUUCAAAGAUGGAGGAAAAGAGGAAAAGAAGAAAGAUCUUUCUACAAAGAAAGUGAAAUGCUACUUUAUACGCACGGACUCUACAGCUUCUUGUGAUAUGGAAAAUCCCUAUAUUUUUACUGGAAAGUCAAUUCAUGAAGCUCGUAUGCAUUUUAUGCACGUGCAUAGAGCACCAACUUUGGCGAAUUAUAUGGCAAGGUUCAUUAUAGGAAGUAUAUGAAAAUAUUCUACUGUAUCAUCUCUAAACUCUUCCAUAGAUGUUCCUUUGUUAUCAGAGUCACCUUUCUUUUGCUGAUGCUUCAGGUUUUCCUUAAUUCUCUCAAAGACUAAAACGCUUGAAGUUGACAUGACUGGGAUUACCUUUGAUCCAAUUGAUGAUAUACACUGCCAUGUACGUCCUUAAUUCAUGUUUCCUUUAGGAACUGCGUCUCUAAUGCCUUUACUUAAUUGUAUUCGCUAUGUUCUUUGACCUUUUUCCAUUUCUUCCAAUUGCAGGAUCAAGAUGGGAAAGAUGUUCUUGACAAGAACAAAAAACCUUGUAUACAUUCAGAUGGAACUGGCUACAUCUCUGAGGACCUUGCUCGGAUGUGUCCCCUAAAUAUAUUUAAAGGGAAAUGUCUCAGAAGUGAAAAUAUUCAGGUCCUUACUCUGACUUUUAUGGUUGGCUAGUAGGCCCUUUGUUCACUCUUUUUUUACUCUUACGUUUACGUAUCAUGUUUUUUUCUUUCUCAUAUUUGUUUGAAUUAAGAGUAAGAUUUCAAAUUUUGAUGGACAGGAAGCUUGUAACCAAGACCCGGUAUGUAUAAUAUAUAGUUCACAACUAUGUUUAUGCCUGAUUCUAUGUUUGUCUAUUAUUGAACUCAAGUAGUAAACAAUUGCUUUUUCCAACAGCCUCUUUUGAUCCAGUUUCGGAUGUUUUAUGAUGGCUAUGCUGUUAAGGGAACUUUUCUCUUAAACAAGAAAGUAAGUCCGCUCUCUUUCACAUUACAACAUAUUUUUUUUUUUUUUGGUUUUUAAAUGUUUGCAAACUAUUUCUAAUUUUGCUCCCAAUUUGGCAGCUUUGUCCUCGGACUGUCCAGGUUCGACCUUCGAUGAUCAAGGUGUCUAAAGAUCCCUCAUUGUCAAAUUUUAGCACCUUUAACGCUUUGGAGGUAGUAACUACAAGGUAUUUUGUUCGUUGACUACUUGUUGUUUUGAUACUGAAGUUCUCUCGUUCAAAUGUUCUUAUCGUGGAGUGAUGUUAUCCUAGUGACAUCUAGUUGUUUUCAUCAUCCAGUAAUCCACCAAGAAGAACAAAGCUAUCAAAAAAUUUGGUUGCGCUGCUUAGCUAUGGAGGAAUCCCUAAUGAAUUCUUUUUGGAUAUAUUGCUCAACACGCUGGAAGAGUCUAAAAGCAUAUUCUACAACAAACAUGCUGCGCUUAAUGGUGCUUAAGAUUCCAAACCUUUCUUGUUCUUUUGCAUUUAUUUCUAUUCAUGUGCCUAGAACUAUUCAUUUUUAAGAAGUCAAUUUUUCUGUGCAGUUGCUCUUAAUUAUGGGGAAAUGGACGACCAGAACGCCGCACAGAUGAUAUUGGUUGGUAUCCCCCUUGACGAACCACACUUGAAGAAUCAUCUGUCUAUUCUUUUAAAGACAGAGAAAAAUGAUCUCAAAGCAGGAAGACUUCCUGUGACCGAAUCAUACUAUCUCAUGGGGACAGUGGAUCCCACCGGAGAGCUAAAGGAAGAUGAAGUCUGUGUAAUCCUGUAUUCUACUCAACUCUUCUUUUACUUUUUCAUUUUGAGUUUUACAUGGAAACUUGAAACAGUGACUUGCUUCUUUGGAAUUGUGAGUUAGUUGUUCAUUUCGUCACUGCUUCUUUUCAUGGUUUUGUAGUGAGUCUGGGCAAAUUUCAGGAGAAGUGUUAGUUUAUAGAAAUCCUGGAUUACAUUUUGGAGACAUACAUAUUCUCAAGGCUACAUAUGUUAAGGCCUUGGAAGAGUAUGUUGGAAAUUCCAAGUAUGCUGUGUUCUUCCCUCAGAAAGGUCCAAGAUCCUUGGGAGACGAGAUUGCAGGUGGUGACUUUGAUGGUGAUAUGUAUUUCAUAUCAAGAAACCCUGAGGUAAUCCACCACAUUAGACAGUAAAAUUAAUUAUUGUUGUGACCUGAUUUCUUGGGUUUGCUUUCUGUUUUAGCUGCUUGAACACUUCAAACCAAGUGAACCGUGGGUGAGUUUGACUCCUCCCAGUAAAAGUAACUCUGGUAGAGCGCCAAGCCAGCUUUCACCAGAAGAGUUGGAAGAAGAACUUUUCGAAAUGUUCCUGAAGGCAGGAUUUCAUGCCAGGUACUCCCAACUCACUUUUAAGCUCUCAAUAUUGAAAGACUCAAAACUGUCUUGGAUUUGCAGAGAAAAUCAAUCUUUGAAAUGUAUGUCUUUUUUUUUUCUCGGGUUUACAGCAAUGUUAUAGGGAUAGCUGCAGAUAGCUGGUUAACAAUAAUGGACCGCUUACUCAUACUAGGAGAUGAGAGAGCUGAGGAAAAAGCUGAAAUGAAGAAGAAAAUGCUAAAGCUGAUUGAUAUAUACUAUGAUGCUCUUGAUGCACCAAAGAAAGGGGAUAAGGUCUAUCUUCCAAACGAGCUGAGGCCCGACAUCUUUCCACAUUACAUGGAGCGGGAGAAAAAGUUCAAGUCCACUUCUAUUCUUGGAUUAAUCUAUGACUUUGUUAAAUCACAGACAACAGAGGAACCCACACCAUCAUCUGGUAAAGGACCUUUCUUGUUAUACAUAUAAUCAGACCACCAAAGAAAUCAUUAAUCAUGAUAUGUGUUUUACUGUGGUUUACAAUUUAGAGAUCAGUAAACUCCCCUGUUUCGAAGAUGAGCCGGUCUCAGAGUUUCAUAUGGAGAAAUGUAGACGGUGGUAUGAUAAUUACAGAAGUGAGAUGACCCAGGCGAUGAAGACUGAUAAGGAUGAAUCAGCCAAUGAAGUUAUUCAGAGAUACAAGCAGGUAAGGUCCUCAAUCCGAUGUCACCACUCCUGCAGAUUCAAUUAAGUCUAAGAGCAAAGAUCUGACCAGUAGACUUCAUGAAUCUCCAAUGUUUUGUUGAUUGGUUCCGUGGAAGCAUGUAACCAACAAGAGUCAAUCAUGCUUAUUAAAGAAACGGUUUAUUUGUCGUGUGUCAGGAGUUCUAUGGUGCUGCAGGGUUUGAAGACAGCAAGAAAAGUCUGGAAGAACUCUAUCCGCAAGCCCUCACACUGUACAAGAUCGUUUACGAUUAUGCCAUUCAUGCAGGUGUUUCGAAAUGUGGGUUUGUCUGGAAGGUAGCAGGACCGGUACUGUGCAGAUUCUAUCUAAUGAAGAAAAUGCAGGAGAAAUCUUUAGUGUGUGCACCAUCUGUGCUUAAAGAGCUUUGGGGUUGAAGAAUACAACCACUCUUAGUUCGCCACUGUUGUGGUAAUAAUUAAUAAGCCUUUUUGUUGUUGCUUCAGUGUCUAAUAAGAAGCGUAUGAGGCAAGUAACUUAACUAAUAGAAGCCAAGAUGUGUGUAUUGUAGUGCCUUUGGUUUGGUUUUAAUGUAGAUUUGUUCUCUAAUGAAUAUUUUGCUUAUGAAAUGAAUAAAAAAUAUGUUAAAUAAGGAAGCUUUUCUAUUAAUUAAUUGCCUAUGAAGGUGUUUUUUUGUAACCUUGAAACUUGUAAUAUAAAUGUUGAGAAUUCAAAAAGGGUGAAAAUAAAAUAAAAAAAUAUCGCGUUUGCAAAGGCAGUUCCUCUCAAAAACAAGGUCGCCCUAGCCGUCAAAAAGUUUUUCUCCGAUGGCCGGUGAUGGAUGGCUUCCACAGCAUCGUCGCCGGUCCCUCUCUCCAUAGUUGCUCUUCAAUGGUCUCGUGUUUACCUAGCUGCGUCGUCUUUCUUCUUUCCCUUUUUCGAUCGACGGUGGUGGCUCAAUUUUGAGUAGUGGCAAUUUCGGUGUGAAAUAAUAGGUAAAAGGUUGGUUGUGUUUAUUCAUUUGUUGUGAGUAUUUAUACAUAUAGGAUCUAAGGGUUUUCCCUUGUACAUGAGAUAAGACUAAAUCUUCUAUGAGAUACAUAUCGAAGUCCAUUAGGCCCAUUACCCCCCCUCAAGUUGGCGGGGAGAGUUACCAACGCCGAACUUGGACAGUAACUUAUCGAAAGCGGGUCGCGGUAGAGCUUUAGUAAGAACAUCUGCGACUUGUUCUUUGGUAGAAAUAUGUUCCAUAGUGAUGAGCUUAUCUUGAACUGCAUCUCGAACUUGAUGACAAUCGGAUUCAAUAUGCUUUGUGCGUUCGUGAAAGACGGGAUUAGAAGCAAUGUGGAUAGCCGCUUGACUGUCACAAAAGAGUUGUAUAGGCCGUGUAUGACGAAAGCCGAAGGUAUGAAGAAGCUCGCGGAGCCACUUGAUUUCUCGAAGUGUAUAUGCCAUCGCGCGAUAUUCAGCUUCAGCCGACGAGUUAGAAACAGUAUGUUGCUUCUUAGUCUUCCAUGAGAUUGGAGAGGAGCCUAAGAAGACCGCAUAUGCGCUGAGAGAUCGUCUAGUAAGAGGGCAUGCAGACCAAUCGGAAUCACAAUAAGCAAUUAAAGAAAUCUCACUGUCCGACCGAAGAAGAAUCCCUUGUGCAGGACACCCUUUAAGAUAUCUAACAACACGGAUGGCAGCGUCCCAAUGUGGGAGAAGAGGAGUGUUCAUGAACUGCGAGAGAAUAUGGACAAUGUAGCUUAGUUCAGGGCGAGUGAUACUAAGAUAGGUAAGACGACCAACAAGGCGACGAUACUCUUCUGGUCGUUUGAGAACAGGACCCGUGGCUGAGGCAAGUUUGUGAUUAGGUUCCACCGGAGUAGCAAACGGCUUGGCACCAAGAAGAUUAGCUUCGGUGAUAAUGUCGAGAGCAUACUUGCGUUGAGAAAGAAAGAUGCCAUCAGGACCACGAGAGACCUCAAUACCCAAGAAAUACUUCAGCGGACCAAGAUCUUUCAUAUGAAAACACUUAUGCAUAUACGUCUUGAAACGUUCUAUUUGAGACAAAUCAUUGCCUGCGACGAUAAAAUCAUCAACAUAAACAAGAACGUGGAGAAUGACGCCAUCUUGUACAAAUGAGAAGAGUGAAUAAUCAGGAUAACUUUGCUUGAAACCAAAUGUGCGUAAGGCUGUAGCAAGUUUCUCAAACCAGCAACGUGGAGCCUGGCGAAGUCCAUAUAAUGAUUUCCGAAGAUGACACACUUGAUUAGUACCAUUAGUAUGAAACCCGGGAGGCAAUUUCAUAUAAACUUCUUCGUCUAAAUCACCAUGAAGAAAUGCAUUAUGAACAUCCAUCUGAUGAACUUCCCAUUGUUUAGCAGCAGCAACACCAAGAAGAAAGCGGACCGUUGUCAUCUUAGCGACUAGCGCAAAAGUUUCUGUAAAAUCAGAUCCUUCUACUUGGCGAUUUCCGAGGGCGACUAAGCGAGCCUUGUAAUGUUCAAGAGUACCAUCAGAGUUGUAUUUGAGUUUAUAGACCCACUUGCUGCCAAUAGCUUUCUUCCCUGGAGGUAAGGUAGUGAUAUCCCAAGUAUGAUUUUCUUCAAGAGCGGUGAUUUCUAAACCCAUAGCAUCACACCAUUCUUUGAUUAGAGAAGCUUGGUGAUAGCUUGUUGGUUCUGUGGUGGAGGUAAUAGCUUCCAUAAAAACUUGAUGCAAUUCCGAAAAUUUUUCGUCAGAAAUAGAUAUGGGAAUAGAAUCAAGUAUCUUACCGCAGACCGUUUUAGCGAGACUAGGAUCAGGUAGAGGUGUAGAAGAAGCAGUAGGGAGUGUAUUAGUAGUAGGAGUAGUAGUAGUAGGAGCUGUAGUAGUAGUAGUAGUAGUAGUAGUAGUAGUAGUAGUAGUAGUAGUAGGAGUUGUGGUGUGAUGAGCAACAUAGUCUUUGAGAAGAACGGAUGGUUGUUUCACACGGUGUCCUUUACCAAGCAAUUCCGGUAAACCCGGUGAAGCCUCAGGUGAGGAAGAUGACGAGCUCGACGAGCUAGAUGAGUGUGAAGGUGUAUGUGAACUAGGUGACGAAGGUGAAGCUGGAGUAGAAGUCGAUGGUGAAAUCGGAGUCGGAGUCGUUAUCGGGGCUGGAGUUGGUGCCAAAGGUAACUCAGCCGUAGUAGGUAUCGGAACCGGAGGUGAUGCCGAUGAAAACAGAUCCGACGGAGGUGAAGGAGCAACCGACAAUGAUUGAAUCCAGUCAUCAUCUUGAAAGAUCGUAGAGGAAGGCAUCGUAGACGGAGAGACGGUGAGUGAACCAGUGUCUAUAGUAGCAAAUGGGAAGACUGUUUCUUGAAACACAACAUCCCGACUCACAAAAAAUUUAUUGUUAUCUAAAUCAUAAAGACGCCAACCUUUCUUACCAUAGGGGUAACCUACAAAUACACAUCGUCAAUUGCGUUCACCAAAUUUAUCCUUGUCACGAGCUCGAUAGUGAGCGUAGCACAAGCAUCCAAAAAUUCGCAAAGCUGAAUAAGAGGGGCGAGAUCCAAACAGUACUUCAUAGGGAGACUUUCCAUGAAGAAUUUUGGUGGGUGUGCGAUUAAUGAGAUGAGUAGCAGUAAGGAUACUUUCUCCCCAAAAUUUUCGAGGAAGAUGACUCUGAAAAAGACACGCACGGGCGACGUUUAGAAUGUGACGGUGCUUGCGCUCAACUCGACCAUUUUGUUGUGGUGUAUCCACACAUGAAGUUUGAUGAAUAAUUCCUUUUUCUUGAAAAAAUGAUGUGAGACACAGAAAUUCCGUACCAUUAUCGCUGCGGAUCGUCUUGACAGGUUUGUGAAAUUGACGUUCACUCAUUGCACAGAAGUUUCGAAUUAAUCGAGAGACUUCUGAUUUUUCAGCCAUGAGAAAAGUCCAGACAGAUCGCGAGAAGUCGUCAACUAUAGUCAGAAAGUAAACAGAUCCGCAUGAAGCGGGUGUGCGGUACGGUCCCCAAACAUCACAAUGAACGAGUUCAAAGCAAACUGUAGUUUUAUUAAGACUUGGAGAAAAAACUUCACGUGUUUGUUUAGCACGAUAACAAAUGUCACAACUUUUAAUGGAAUCUAAGCUACUACUAGAAAGAGUAAUCUCUGGUAAAGAACUCAAAACACCGGUAGAUGGAUGUCCUAAUCGAUGAUGCCACAAUGAUGCCGAUGAUGAUUCGUUGACAACUUUGUUAGCACGAGCAGCAAGAACACCCGUAAAAUAAUACACUCCCUCACGCUCUUCACCCGCACCAAUCAAAGUUCUCGUAAAACGGUCCUGCAAGAAACAUAAGGCAUCAGUAAAGAUUGCAAUACAUCCAGUAUGCUUUAGUAACUUGGCAACAGAGAUUAAUGUGCAAUUAAAAUCCGGCACAAAUAGCACAUCGGGAAGUGAAUAUGCUUUAUUUAGAGCAAGAGUUUCACGUUUAGUGGCACGAGAGGCAGUCCCGUCAGGCUUUGUGACAGGCGAAGGUAUGAUGUUUUUGACAUCCGUGAGUAACGUGACAUCGCCGGUCAUAUGAUGUGAAGCACCUGUGUCAAUGAUAACGUCAGUAAAUUGAGUUUUACCCGAUAACUUUUCUGUAGUGGUGGUCUGAUUUUGAGCUUGAAGUAGUGAGAUCAAUUGAUUGAUCUAAGCAUUGUUUGUAGAAGGAGAGCUAGUACUAGCAGCGUUAGCACGGCCUCUUCCACGAUAGCUAGAGGAUGAAGAACGUCCGCCGCGAUUGUUGUUGCCACGAUCAGUGUUGCCACGACCAGAUGAUCCUCGUGUCGUAGAGCCGUUAGAGCCAUUCUGUUCUAGCCACCAGUCCGGAUAACCAUGGACCAAAAAACACUCUGUUACUUCAUGGCCUUGACGAUGGCAGUGAGUACAAUUCAAAGAAGAGCGAUCGCGAAAUCGAGGAGCAGAGACUGCCGCUACUUGAGAUGGUUGCGAAAGUGGUGUGGUUUGAACUGAAAACCCGACAGCCUCUGUUUUGAUGGCAUCCUUGAUGCGUGAUGCGUUGAGGUUUUGUUCUUCACGAAUCACACGAGAAUACACUUGAUUUAGAGCUGGUAGAGGAUCUUGAUCGGUAAUUGUAGAGCGAAUAGGCCGGAAGCGUUCAUCCAAAUUUAGUAAGAAUUGAUGAACCUUGUCAUCUUCACGUUCUUUAGCAAUGUCAGGAGCAGCUGCACACGUACACGUCCGACCAGUCUUGUAGUUUUGUAGUUCUUCCCAAAGCUUGGUUAGUCUCCCAUAGUAAGCAAGAACAGAUUGGCCAUCUUGCUUACACGCCGAAAUUUCAUCUUUGAGCAAUUGUUUGCGGACACCGUUUCCGGUUGAGAAGCGUUGUUUGAGAUUAUCCCAAAGCUCUUUUGCAUCAGACACAAAGACAACAGUUGAACGUAUGGUUGGAUCAAUAGAUGUUCUAAUCCAACCGAUGAUCAUAGAAUUUGCAGCUUUCCAUGAUAUCAAAUCAGGUUCUGUCGUUAGCUUUGGUGUUGAACCAUCAAGAAAGCCGAGUUUGUGUUUUGCUUGGAGAGAAUUCAUGAGCUCUGUAGCCCAUUCAGAGUAAUUGUCUUCCUUUAAGACAACAUAAGAAAUCAAAGCACCGGGAUUAUCAGAAGCAUGAAGUUGAUAUGGAUUUGGGUUUGGUUUUGGUACGGUGGCGAUUUCUGACAUAGAGAAUGAUGUGUAGAAGAGAUAGAAGCGAAAGAGAUGAUUGCGGUGGCGGUGGUUGUGAAGAACAACGACGGCGGCGGCUUAUUUAAAAAAAAUUAGGUCACAGAAUUUAAUAGCUCUGAUACCAUGAAAUAAUAGGUAAAAGGUUGGUUGUGUUUAUUCAUUUGUUGUGAGUAUUUAUACAUAUAGGAUCUAAGGGUUUUCCCUUGUACAUGAGAUAAGACUAAAUCUUCUAUGAGAUACAUAUCGAAGUCCAUUAGGCCCAUUACGGUGGCUUGGCGUCGGAUAUGAGGAGUUAAUUUGCAGAUCUAUGGUGUUCUUCGUUGGUUCUGCUCUCAUGUGGCUCAGUCAAGGUUUGUUGCUGCUCGGAUGCUUUCUUCCGUUUUGGGGGUAGAGUUUUAGAUUCUCCGUUUGGGUGGAAAUUCUCUGAUCUGUUUUCAUUGGCUCUGUUCUCGUUGGAUUGGGAGUUGGUGAUGGUAUGUUGCGUGCUCCGGCUGCAUCUGUGGCAACGGCCUCCGUCAUUUAUCUUCAGGUUGUGUUUUUGCCUUUGGUUAAUUGCUCUGUUGGUUGGACGCGUGUAUCUUCUAGGUUUGGUUGUGUUUUAAUUUGGUUGAGGAGUGAAGCCUUAGAUUCAAGAUUAGGGUUGGCAUUAUUAGCUUUUAUCUCUGCCUCACUGUUAUCCUCCCUUCUGGAUUCUAGUGGUGUGAGAUGGUGAAGGUUUCGUUUGGUGGGUUCUUCCUUCGGAUGGUAGUCUUCUUUUGGUGUAGAGUUUCAGUUGUGAAUUGCUUUUGAGCUUUUGUUUUAUGCCAUUGUCCCUUUUCUUUAAGGUUUUUUCUCUCUUUUAUGUCCGUCCUUUGGGACCUUUAGUCUCUGGGGAUUUAUUUGUACCCGCCGGCUUUGUUUUCAGAAGGAUCUAUGUCCUUGCCGUGAUGUAUAACUCAAAUGUAUCCCAUCAAUGAAUCAUUUAGACAAAAAAAAAAAAAAAUAUUGAGAAUUUAAAACCUUGGAAACAAAGAAGAAAACAAAAUUUUGAUCGCGAUUUUGCGAUGGCAACAGCAAAAAACGCGAUUUUCUUACUUGGGCGUUUGCAGCGGCGGGGAGAAAUUUUGUAAUUCUGGUGGGUCGUGCUAGGGUAUUUUGGUAAAUUUAAAAAAGGAAUAAACGGCUAUUUGUGGACUGUAUAAAAUCUUCGUCAAGUCAAAUCCUUAAAAUCGAUUCACAGAAGAAAAAGCUACGAUUUUUUUUUUUGGGUCAGUGUAUCGUCAGAUCAACAACGUCGCAUCAACAAAGAAAUUUGAAAACUUGAGAACAGUUUCUCUUCUCAGUCACUGGGUAUUUAUUUGUACGAGAACCCUAAAUAGAAAACUGAUUCCGAUUUGGGGAAAAAGAUGAUGACCACUACCGGCGGCGAUGAAGUUUUUUCGCGGUCAGAAAUCGUUCUUCUGGGUAGUGUUGAAACCAUGUUGGAGAAAAUCUACGGGAAACACAAUCAUCAUCCUCCGAUAAAAGUGGAGACAAGACGGAAACUUUCUUCGAUUUCUGAGGAAUUGGCUUUGGAAACACUCAGGAAAGUUCUCAAUAUGGAGUAUGUGAAGACUCUCGAUGGGAUAAUCAUGUAUUUCGUUAACAAUGCGGCCACUGUUGAUGGCUCUCCACGGCUGAGUUCCGGUGAGUCUCCGCUUCAGUCUCCUACAACUCCUGGGAAAAAAGAGGUGUCUCUUGAUGGUGAAGAUCCGUCUCCUAAGUUCUUGAGAAGAGAUGAAACUGGAAGAACUAAUCACAUUCCUCCGCUAGUAGCUUUGGGUGAACUUGAAUUUAAGAAGGCGUUUCUGUUGCUUACCUAUCUCGGAGGGUAUGUUUAGGCUGGCGGUUUUUUCGAUCUUUUGCCAUCAGUUUUAUAUCUAUUUCUUUGGAAAGUGAUCGUUUUUGUUACAGGAAAUCCCUGGGGGAGGUUAUAUCUGGUGAUGAGAUCAGACAAUGGAAGGAUUUGCCAAUGGUUGCAUAUGAAAGUGCAGUGUGGUUCAAGUUGGGCCAAAACGAGCAAAGAAUCGUAUGGCACUUCUCUGUUAUGUUCUAUAUUGGUUGCUAUAUAUAUCAUGGUCUGUUGAACUGCUUGCUGCACUGCAAUUUCGGAGGAAUUAGAGUGUCGAGGUUGUACUAAUUGCUUCUUCUUACAUGCUUCUUUUCCCCAGUCGCUUGAAUCGGAUAGCGGGAAGACUCAUUACUAUCAAUGUCAUGUUACUCCCGAUGGUAGUUACAGAUUUAAGGUUCAACCGGGCUCUCCAACCACUAUCAUUCAUGUUUGCAUUUUCCCGUGUUGCAUAGGUUCUUUGUUACUUAUUGAUUGACUGUGUUCACAGGGUUAUCUUCUGGAGAACACUGGAACACACCUGCACAAGGUUUUGGGUGAUGAUAAUGUUUUAACCGUCAAAUUCGAUCAAUUACCAAAGGAGUCAACCUACUGUAACGACCCUUACUCUAAACACAAAGAGAUUGCUAAGAAUGGUAUCAUGGUUGGUUUACGUCGUUAUCAAAUUUUUGGUGGGUCUUUUUCCUUUUCUCUUGAUUAUCAUUUAUGUUAUUGCAAAUACAACACUUUUCCUUGUUAAGGUGCUAAGGCCAUGUCUAGCAGAUAUUGUCAUACUUUAGCACAUAGUACCUUGUUAACCUCUUUUAAAUAGUCUUCAAAGAUGGAGGGAAAGCAGAGAAAAAGAAGAGAAAUUCUACAAAGCAAGUGAAAUGUUACUUUAUACGCAUGGACUCUACAGCGUCUAGUGAUAUGGAAAAUCCCUAUAUCCUUGCCGGGAUGUCUAUUCAUGAAGCUCGGAUGCAUUUUAUGCAUGUGCAUACAUUGCCUUCUCCGGCCAACUAUAUGGCACGGUACUCUAGUUUCUUUUAAAUCUCUAGUGGAGGCAUCCUGAAGAUUUCUUACUGUUUUAGAGAUGUUUUCCUUUGUAAUCAGGGUCACCUCUCUUCUGUUGAUGUUUCAGGUUUUCUUUAAUUCUGUCAAAGACAAAAAAGCUUGAAGUUGACAUGACUGGGAUUACCGUCAAGCAAAUCGAUGAUAUACACUGCCAUGUACCUCUUUAAAUUCAUGUGUUCUUCAGGAACUGUAUUCACUAUAUGGGCUUUGACUUCUUUCCCUCUCUGACAAUUGCAGGAUCAAAGUAAUAAUGAUGUUCUUGAUAAGAAUGGGAAACCUCGUAUACACUCAGAUGGAACUGGAUACAUCUCUGAGGACCUUGCUCGGAUGUGUCCAGUAAAUAUUUUUAAAGGGAAAAACAUCAAAAGUGACAUUAUUCAGGUCUUUGUUCUAUUCCAUGACAAUUUAAUGGUUGAUUAGUUCACUCUUGUUUCCUUAUUAUGUUUGUUUCUGAUUUGUUUUGAAUCACAGGGAAAAACCUGUGGCCAAGAGCCGGUAUGUACUUUACAGGCCACGUUUAAGCUCGAUUCUGUAAUUGACAAUCGCUUACCACAAGUACUGACACUUUUUUUGUUUGUUUCCAACAGCCUCUGCUGAUCCAAAUUCGGAUGUUUAAUGAUGGCUCUGCUGUUAAGGGAAUUUUUCUAUUAAACAAGAACGUAAGUAGACUCUCUUUCAUGUCACAGAACCAGACUUUUGAGCUAUUCCUAAAUUUGCUCCCAUCCCAAUUUGGCAGCUUCCUCCACGGACCGUCCAGGUUCGACCUUCUAUGAUCAAGGUGUAUAAAGAUAAAAAUUUGUCAAAUUUUAGCACUUUUAACUCCCUGGAGGUAGUCACUACAAGGUAUAUGUCUCUUGGAUUUAUGUUAUCUUCAAGCUGAACUUCUCACUCGAGGUUCUUAUUUGAUGAUCUUUGGUUGUUUCCAUCUUCCAGUAAUCCACCAAAAAGAGCGAAGCUAUCGAAGAAUUUGGUCGCGCUGCUGAGCUAUGGAGGAGUGCCAAAUGAUUUUUUUUUGGAUAUAUUGCUCAACACGUUGGAAAAGAAGAAUACCGUAUUCUUCAAAAUACGCGCAGCGGGUAAAGGUAUGGUUAUAACUCUAAAGCUUUGGAGUUGUUUUGCAAUUUUCGAGCUCCGAAACUGAGUGAACUAACAUAAGAUGUUUUCCUAAAGUCUUUAAUAUCAUAGGAAGCAUGAGAAGUCACAUGAUGGCUCUUUUCUUAAGUUUAUUUGUUUUCUGCAGCUGCACUUCGUUACGGAAUAUGGACGAUAAGAACGCUUUACAAAUGAUCAUGGCUGGUAUCCCCCUUGAUGAGCCAUAUUUGAAGCAUCAUCUAUCUCUUCUCUUAAAGAUAAAGAAAGAUGAUCUCAAAGCAGGAAGACUUCCUAUUGACGAAUCAUACUAUCUCAUGGGGACAGUGGAUCCCACCGGAGAGCUAAAGGAAGAUGAAGUCUGUGUCAUCCUGUAUGCUACCAAAUCCUUCUUCUUUUUAUUUUAUUAUAGGUGUAGAUGGAAACAUAAACAAACCGUGACUUGCUUCGUUGGAGUUGUGAGUUAGCUGUUCAUUUCCUCACUACUUUCUUUUUCGUGGUUUUGCAGCGAGUCUGGCCAAAUCUCAGGGGAUGUGCUAGUUUACAGGAAUCCUGGACUACAUUUUGGAGACAUACAUAUUCUACAGGCUACAUAUGUUAAAACCUUGGAACAGUAUGUCGGAAAUUCCAAGUAUGCUGUGUUCUUCCCUCAAAAAGGUCCAAGAUCUUUGGGCGACGAAAUUGCAGGUGGUGAUUUUGAUGGCGAUAUGUAUUUCAUAUCCAGAAAUCCCAAGGUACACUGCUACGUCCAUCACAGUUAUAGUAAAAUUUCAUUGCUGAGACCUUACUUAUGAACUGCAACUUACUCUGUUUAGCUACUCGAGCACUACAAGCCAAGUGAACCGUGGGUGAGUUCUUCUCCACCUAGUAAAAUUUACACUGGUAGAAAGCCAAGUGAACUUUCACCCGAACAGUUGGAAGAAGAGCUUUUCAACAUGUUCUUAAAGACAGGAUUUAGUCCCAGGUAUGUUAUUUAAUUCUUGGGUUACUUUCACGGUCACAUAGUCCUUUGGGUUAAACAUGCCUUGUUUUUUGGAUUCACAGCAAUGUUAUAGGACAGGCUGCAGAUAGCUGGCUAGGAAUAAUGGACCGCUUCCUCACCUUAGGAGAUGAGAGUGUUAAGGAAAAAGCUGAAAUGAAGAAGAAAAUGCUAAAGUUGACUGAUAUAUACUAAGAUGCUAUUGAUGCACCAAAAACGGGGACUGAGGUCAAUCUCCCGUUCGACGUAAAGGCCGAUGUUUUUCCACAUUAUAUGGAGAGGAAUAAAAUAUUCAAGUCCAUUUCUAUUCUUGGUUUAAUCUUUGACACUGUGGAUUCUCAUAAUGCAGAGGACCCCACACCAUCCGGUACGGAUCUUCUUGUUACUAUUGAUUAUCAAAGUACACAAGAACUCAUCACGUUGUAUAUGUUUUAACGGCUUAGCUCUGGGUUACCUUUCAGAAAUCAGUAAACUCCAGUGUUUUGAAGAUGAGCCGGUCUCUGAGUUUGACAUGGAGAAAUGUAAAAGCUGGCACAAGGAUUACAGAAAGGAGAUGUGUCAAGCGAUGCACUCUGAUGAUGAUUCCUGUGAUGAAGUAAUCCAGAAAUACAAGAAGGUAAGCUCUUCAAUUUAGUUAAUUCUAAGAGCAAACAUUUAGCCAAUAGCCUUCAUGAACCACCGGUUUUUUGUUGAUUCUAAUGCUUUAUAAACAAAUCAUUGGUUGAACGGUUUCUUCUCUCUGUAACAGGAGUUCUACGGUGCUGCAGGGUUUAAAGAAAGCAAGAGAAGUCUGGAAGAACUCUACCCAAAGGCCCUUGCACUUUACAACAUCACUUACGACUAUGCCAUCAAGAAGAAUAAUGUUAAAAGUUGUGGGUUUGUCUGGAAGGUUGCAGGUCCGGUCCUGUGCAGAUUCUACGAGAAGAAUUCAAUAAUGUGUUCGAUUUCUGUGCUGAAAGAGAUUUUCGGCUGAACACCACUGUUCUGUUCUGUUCUGGAUAACAAUAAGUAUUUGCUGUCUUCAUGUCUCAUAAUAUGCGUGUUAGGCAAGUAACUUACUUACAGGCUAAACCCAAACCAAGAUGUGUGGUGUAGUACUGGCUUUGGUUUAGUUCUAGUCUUAGAUUUGUCCUCUAGUUUACAUGUAAUUUCUUGUGUACGUAUAUUUGCUUAUGGAAUAGAAAAAAAAUAAUGUCCUUUAUAGUGUGGUGUACAAAGCUGUCUUUUUCAGUGUGACCCCCUCUCUGCAUCCUCAUGCUUCCAUUUGGAUUUUCAUGUCCUUCUUCCUUCCAUUACUAUAUGUUUCAAGAAAAGUAGAGAAAGUUUCUUCUUCACUGAACCACUGAUAUACUUUAAUAUUCACAUCAAUGCAUGCCAAUGCUCCUUUAUGGGUUUGCUCAUGAAUCUACAGACUAAGCCGAGUCAAUAAGUUACUGCCUCUGUUUGCAAUAAGAAGUGUCAGGGCAAUAUUACCUAAGAUAUCAAUACACGGUUCAUUAACAUUACCAUCAUUGUCCGGUGGAGCUACCGCAAAUUUAAACCUAAGCUGCAUGGAAUCGGAGGCGGGUACGCGGAAGCGGAAGCGUUUGGAAUCGCAGAAGCGAUUUUUGUGAAAAAUAUAGGAAGCGGGUACGUAUUGGAAGCAUUAAUAUAUAUAUAUAUAUAUAUAUAUAUAUAUAUAAAUAUCAUAAAUAUAUAAGCUUGCUUGCGUAACAAAAAAAAAAACUUAAGCUUACGAAAAAAUAAACAAAAUUGGGCUGCUGAGAAUAUAUAUUAGGGAUAUCAGAUAUGAAUGUUAAAAGCCCAAAAGAAUGGAAAAUGUAAGGCCCACAAUUGUUAAGAUUCUUCUUCCCGAUGAAAACACCGGAAACUUAAGAAAUAUCAGAUCUGAAAAUUGAAACCACCGGAGGUAACAGAUGAAUCAUGCACAUUUUAUAUGUUUCUUCUUUUUUUUUUUUGUCAAAGGGUUUUCAUUUUUAUUGACUUUUUGUGAGUAUAGAUGGAAACAACAUAAUGGGCUAAGCCCUACAAAGUGGUUACAUAAAUUUAAAAACUGAAAUUAAAGAGGUCCAACCCAGCUAAAGGGAAACCUUACCCAACUUGCAAAGAGGCCCAAUAAGCAAAAUCGAUUGGACCAAAUGCCCAAACCGAAAAAGCCCACAACCAACCCAAGCCAAAAUUAGGUCAAGCGAAGAAGCUGUUCCGCCGCCGACUGAGACAACCGGAGUCCGCACAUGACGGAUCCUGGCCAAGAUCCGUCAAGUCCCUACUCGGCCGGAGACCGAGCGACCGGAGAUCCAACGCCGGGAACCGAAACUCAAACUUGACCCUUGCUGGAGAACACAUCGGAGAAGCUUUGCCAACCAAAAGACGCCGGCCUACACACACCGGGAAUCUAACGCAGACGAAGACCACUCACCUCACUUAUACGACUGCUCCGCCGUGACCAAAGACAAAGGAAGCAAGCCUCACUUAUAUGUUUCUUCUUGCUUGUGAUAAUUUAUCAUCUAAGAGACAAAGAACCACACGCACACACCAUUAGAAAACCAAGGCAACUGAACAUGAAGAAAAAGGAGGUUGCGUUUCCGUUCAUAACACCACGCUUCCAAAUAUGAAUCGACCGAUUCCCAGACGCUUCCAAUGUGUGAUUUUUUAGAACUGCGCUUCCGUCACGUUUCCGAGCGCUUCCUGACGUUUUCGUACCCGGUUCCGGUUCCGAAGCGGGAAGCGGAGGUUGGAUGCCGAUUCCGUGCUUCCUAGAUUUAAACUGUCAUGUUUACCAAAAAAAAAAAAAAUUUAAACUGUCAUGUUUACCAAAAAAAAAAAAAAAUUUAAACUGUCAUGAUUGGUAGUUGGUACAUACACACACACAAGACAAGAAAAAGAAAACUUAGAAAAAUAAACACAUGGUUAUUAACUGGACAACGAAGAUGCUAAUAAACUGUGAACAUUUGAAGAACUCAAAAUGUUAAUUUUGGCUGAAACCAGUAUAUGAUACGUGAAGUUUAAUACAUGAACUUAUAAAUUUAAUCAAAAGAAAUUGAUAAUAGAGACUUAAUCCCGUUAGUUUGUUCCGUCAAUUGACUUAACAACGUGACAAAAAUGGCAAAAUCAAUGAAAUUUGGUAUUUAAUAUAAAUUUAAAAAUUUUCAGAGUAAGUUGAAGAUUUAAAUCAACGGAAUUAAAAAGUGGGGGAUUUUAAAAACAUAUAUUCCCAAAUAAAUUCAGUAUUUUAUAGACUACAACUUUAGCAAAGGUGCCGCUAAUCAAAAUCAUCAAACAUUAAAUAUAAGAUUUUAUAGACUUUAUUUGUUUAUUUAAGCGAAUAAAUAAAUUCAGUAAAAUAGUUUGGUGUUUUAGCAACUUAAACAAAAUUUAUUAACGCUUGUGACGUGGCCAUAUUGACUAAUCACAAGACGCCCAAAUUAAAAUUUAAAACGUUCUUUUCUUUUUCUAAAACGUGAACUAGCCGUUAUUUAGCUUUUGCGAAUAACGGUAGGAAUGUGCCACGCGUAUCAAAAGCCCUAAACGAUUUCCAUUAUUAUGCCAAAUAAGAAGAAGAAGUUUUCCAUUAUUCUCUGCGUUUCUUUCAUCGGAGACUUUGAAAAUUGCUCUGUAAGUUUCCGAAUCGAUCCUUCAAUGUCAUCUAGUUUAAUCCUGAUUUCUUUUGAAAAAUCGUUGAUUUAUCCUUCUCUUGGGUUAGUAAUUUUGUAGUCGAUCUUUAGGUUUCAAAAUCGCAUAUAAAUUCUUUCUCUUGUUUUUCUCUUCAUCGAAUCAACUAGUUAGGGUUUCAGAAUCUCAAUAAUCGCUUUUUCUUUUUAGGUUUUUGUUUUGAUUUACUCGAUUUCAGUUUGAUUCUUUGAAUUAGGGUUUCAAUUUCUGUAAUCGUUAUGUUAAUCAAAGACUUGUAUAUUUAUCAAACAAAUUUGUUUUUAUUGUUGCAGAUCAAGUUCGUAUAAGAAGACAGAGACUGGAUUAUUCUCUCAUUGAUCACAGAGAGUUUUCUAGAGGAUACUUUCACACCAAUCUACAUAAUCUCUUCAGGUAAUUCUCUGAACUGUGGUUUCCAAUGUGUUGCCUUGUGUCUGAAUCUAAAUUGGGAACAUUUGUCUCUCUUUGAUGAUCUAAAAGAUCGGAAACAAUUGUCCUGAAUCUUGAAACAUACCUUACGGCUUAAAUACAUUUGACAAUCUCAAACCCAUGGCUUUGACAAAGUUCUCGGUUCAGAGAUAAAAGCUGAUAAACACACUAUCAUGCUAUGAGCUCUUUAGCUUAACUGGUCCGAUGAGAGUUGCCUUAACCUCCGGCUUAAAACCCAUAAGGGGUAUGGGAAUUAAAAAAGAGUACAAGUACCCACGGGUUUAACAGAGUUCUUGGUUCAAAGAUAAAGCUGAUAAACACAAUAUCACGCUAUGAGCUCUAUAGUUAAACACUUAAACUGGUCCGAUGAAAGUACACAUGGCUUUGACAGAGUUCCCGGUUCAAAGAUAAAGCUGAUAAACACACUAUCACGCUAUGAACUCUAUAGUUAAAGUGGUCCGAUGAGAGUUGCCUUUAUGAUGAGACUAAAACCUGGGGCUUAAAACCGAUUUUUGGUUCAAAAACAAAGGGGUAUGGGAAUUUGCAAAAGCCCUUGAAGCUUAUAACAGACACUAGAAUUUGAAAGAAAGUACACAUGGCUUUGAGCCUUUGACAGAUGGUUUUGACAGAGUUCUCGGUUCAAAGAUAAAGCUGAUAAACACACUAUCACGCUAUGAGCUCUAUAGUUAAACUGGGAGUUACCUUUAUUGGUUAGAUUAAAACAGCUGCGGCUUCAAACCCAAAAGGGUAGGGGAACUACAAAAUCCCUUAGAGCUUAUUACACACACUGGAUAAUACAAACGAGCGUUUGUGUGGUCUACAAAGGGGUAAAGGGAAUAGAAAAAGCCCCUCUUAAGUUUCAAGUUUCAGAGGUCUCACAUACUAACUCGUCUGAUUUUUGUGAGCUCUUCAUCUAGUCCCACAGGUGUUACCUAUAAAAAUACAUACCAACGGCUUACAGAAACAAAUACCAACGGCUUACAGAAACACAUACCAACGGCUUACAAACCAAUGGCAACGACUUAAAAACACUAAAGCUUAACAUGAACCAGUGACUACUUGGUUUAAGUGUGUGCUAUAAAAUGAAAGCCAUACACACUGAGAUCACAAAUUUAAACAGGGUAUGUGCAUGAAAGGCAUAAACCCAUAUUUUACAAAUGAUGAACUGAUGCAACUUUUUAUUUUUCCAGAUAUUUUUGAAGACUCAGGAGAGAUUUCAAAGUGUCUAUGGACUUCAGGAUUGGUAUGUGUUUCUCCUUAAACUUGUAUUUAAUUCGUUUUGUAUUGUUACAUACUUAGAUCAUGGCGCAAAUCACAACCAUAAUUGAAAAUAGACUCUGCAUAACAGCCUUCAGGUACGUAAAUCGGUUUAGAUAUAAACUUAAUCAUUAAAAAUUUUGCUUCUCUUACGUACUUUCUUGGUGAUUUUUAGAAACUGUUUGAUGCAAGAAUAUGAAAUUAGUGUAGGAUAAGACAUGUGCUUCUCCUAUGUGUGUAUUCGAUUGGUUGAUAUAGUUACUAAUGUUAGAAAUCAUAAGUUAACAAGCUUUUGCUUUUGAAUACUUGAAGUGAGCAACUGAUUUAAUGGAAUGUAUUUGACAAUAACUCUUUCUUUGUGCAGGGUAGAAAGUGAAAACAUCAACUAAGAUACAAACAAUACUAAGAUACAAACAAUAUCAGAAUUAAAACCUGAAUCUGAUAAAAAUGAAGAAUUUGUUACAUUAAAUGCAACCCUGUCUUAGGUAAACAAUUUAGAUGAAAUUUAUCGAUAAUCGUUGAAAAAUAUACUUUGUAAUUGUUUAGUAUUGUUAUGAAUUAGAUGUGAGAUGAUUUUAUUGGUUGUUUAUGGUCUAUUAUGUGGAUUAUGGUUUAUGUUUUGAGGCUUGAUCAUUUUGGUUGUUGCAUAAGCCUAUGUGCUUUGACUUUGAUUUAUACUUUUUUGUAUUGGGUCGGUACAUAGUAUAUGAUUCGAACUCAUGACUUGAAUUCUUUUGGUUGUUGCAUGAUCUAUGCUUUGAAGCUAUGGCUUUGAAUCCGUUGGUUGUUCUGUGGAUUGAAGCGAUGGCUUGAAUUUGUUAGUUGUCACAUGAUUUUUACUUACUUGAAUAUAUGCAUUGUGUGGUCUAAUAUGCUAACUUGAAUAUGUUCCUUGUGUGGUUUAUGCUUUGAGCUAUGCCUUUAUUCGGUUGUUUGUUGUGUAGUCUUUGCUUACUUGAAUCUGUUGGUUGUUACAUGGUUUUUGCUUACCUGAAUCUCUAUGUUGAGUGGUUUAAUGCUAUCUUGAAUAUGUUGUUUGUUUGCGUGGUCUAUGUGUUAAUUCAAAAAAUAUGCUAUUACUAACCUUGAAAUUUAUGGUGAACUCGAAAAGAGAUGGUUAUUGAUUGUCCUUGGAAGAUUAUCUUACUUGCUUAGUAGUGGUUUGAUGUGAGAUCUUUCUUUUGUUUUGAGUCUCUGAGAAGUGAGAAAAAAAUCCUUAGUGCUCAGUUACAAUCUUCGUUGAUCAACAAUAUUUUGUACAGAUUACUACAUAUUACGAUAAUUCAUGGAUUUACAUUUUAACAAGUUAUAUUUCAUCAUCAAAUUAUCAUGCAUUAUAUGCUCAGUUCAAGUCUUUCAAGUUUGAUUGCUUUGUUAAUUUCCUAAUAGAAUUCACUAGUUUCUGGUUUUGUGUUGCGUUUCUUCGUGUCUGAAGCUAAUAUGGUGUAUGAAGCUAAUUUUGUAACCGUGAAUGAUUCUAGUUCUGGUUUCUUGAAAGAUUUCAAUUUCUUUGUUCUGCAAAGUAACUGUUUCCAGAGAACUUGUUUAGUAUGAAAUACUUGUAAACAGUUUUUAACCUUUGGGGUUAAAAAACUGGCCUUGCGAAAGACUCAUGUCAAUGUUUCCUCCAAAACAUGAGUCUUUGAAAUAGCAAAAUGGUAAUGAUUUUUUCACGGUUCUUCAACAUGUUUAGCUUUCCUUCAAUCUUCCACAGUCUUGCUUUCUUUAGGUACAUUCUUCAGAAUCUCUUGAGAGACCACAAGCUUUUUGUUCUUAGUCUUUUUCUUGAAUGUUCUCUUCUAGUUCUAGUUUUUAUGUAGCUUGUUUGGCUUGAAGUUGUCUUCUUCCUUUAGUAGACGUUAGAAUAUGGUUUAUGGGACAUAUAUAUAAAAACCAAAAACAGAACCAUAGAAACUUUUCAGUGCUUAAUAGUUAGAUGCCCUGUUCUAAAAAUCGGCCGCUUAACCGCUGAUCGGAUGGGGACCGCGGCGAUUUUGUCCAAAUCGGUAAAAAAAAUCGGUGAUUCGAUUUUUGUCCGCCUAGACGGCGCCUAGCCCAAUUUUUAUUUUUUUUUUACAUUUUUUUUUUUGGAUAUAAAAUUCAAAACGUCCCACUUAUGUUCAUAAUUUGUAUAAAAUUCAUAAAAUUGACCUUAAAUUCUUGUUUUCAUGUGUUUAAUGCACUUUUAAAAACAAGAUUAUAUAAAUUUAUUAUUUAUAAUGGAUUAAUAUGUUUUUAAAAUAUUAAAUAGCCUUAAAACUAGUUCCCGAUUAAUCCCCGUUUAAUCUUCAAUUUUUUUGCUAGGCGUUAGGUCCACUGUCACCGUCCGAGUAGCGCCUAGCGAUUUUUUAAAUAGCCUAAUGAUGUGAGGGAUCUCAUUACCCAGAGAAGCGUUUCAAACUCUGUGUGGAGUGGGGAUAAACAUUGUCAAACUCUGAUUAAUAAGCUGAUAAUCUGAGAUAAGAAUCCAUCCAAUGCCGCAUAAAUAUAUACUCAUGAGUGAUGUUGAUAAAGAUACUUUUUUUUGUUUGGAAGCAUAUUUUGCUAAAUAGUUUUAUAUUUGCGAAAUAAACACAAAAUUAAUGAUACUUUUCGAAAUACCUCAGAUAAGGCCUGUAAUUAUAGUGGGCCUCGAUAGAGGUGUCAAACGGGCCGGUCCGCGUCCAUCUGGGCCGGCCCGCGAUGGGCAUUUAAAUUUAUGAGACCGCGGCGGGCCGGCCCGCUAGGACCGCGGGCAAAAAUAAUAUCUCCAGGCCCGCCCCGCUAAGCCUAACGGGUUAGCGGGCCGGCCCGCGGGCUUAGUUUUACAUAUUUUAAAAAUAAUUAAAAAAUAAAAUUAAUUUUUAAAAUUUGAAAUUAACAAUUUUUCAAUAAAAAAACUCUUAGAAUUAAUUUUUUUGUAAAUCUUAUAAUUUUAUACAUUAAAUUUCGUUAUAUGUUCAUAUAUUUCACAUAUAUAUUUUUAGAAUUAUGUAAAAAUAUUUAUUUAUUUAUAUUAAUUAUUUAUUUUUAUUAAAUAUUUGUAGUCCGCGGGCCGCGGGCUAUCGGCCCGCUUGACACCUCUAGGCCUCGAUACGAAAUCGCCAAGAUUUACGAUUUAUCUAAAUAAGUGCCCCUUUUUCUUACAAAGUUUUUAUUUGUUUUCUGAAAUCUCCUGCACUAUCUGGUUAAGUCUCAUUUCUUUCUAUUUUCUCACAUUCUUUCUUUUGCCAUAAACAGUCAUAUGAAAUCCAUCGAUAUAUGGAUUGACGUUUUAGUUUGAAGAUUCAAUACUUCGAAUCAUGUGCUUGGUUUAUAAUUUGUUUUGUGGAUUUCAUUUUCUAGGUAGUGUGUCGAUACAUUAUCAUUUGAUUGUCUUGCAGUAAUUUUGUGUAGUUAUGAUGGACGAAUUUCAGAGUAUAAAUCAUUGCAAAUUUUUUUAAUAAGUGGGCUUAAUUUUUUUUUAUAGGCCCAUAUUGUAAAUCUCAAAUAUGUAGCUCAGUCCAUAUUCCUUGCUCCACCUAACUUUUCUACGUUGUUGGUUUAGUGAGAAUUUUUUUGUUUUGUUGAUUAAGAAAGUGGUUUAGUGAAAGCUUUCCUCUCUCUCUCUGUUAUAUGAGAGUCUAUAAAGAUUUGUUGUGAAUCCAUUACGUGUAAGAUAUAAGGAAUCUGGGAUUUCAAUUAUGGUGUUGAUCAAUUAUUCUAAAAACUAUCUCAUGGUAUAAAUAACUAUGGUUUUGUUUGUGUAAAUAAUUAUAAAUUUUUUACAUCAAAUGUUAACAAUGUUUAUCAAUAGAAGAUAAAAAAAUUUCAAUGAUUGACAUUCUGAAUGGUGACUGCAAUUGAAUAAGGAAAAUAGCAGGAAAAACAUACUAAAAACGAGAAAGUGUUAUAAAAUGAUAGUUAUCCAUUACGGAUCACUAUCCACUUUAAUUUCUCUCUUAUCUAUUGUUUACUUAGCAUGGAAGUAGCUUGAUCACCAAGUUUUUAUUCUUCUAUAUAUAUGUUGCUUUGUACGAAAGAUUAAAAGUAAAAUGUAGAGAGAAGUUGAGUAAUAAAGCUUUCAUUUCACUCUCUCUCCCUCUUUUUUUUUUUUUGUCGUCUGAAUUUUAUUAGAAAACUAUAAAAGGAUACAUGAUGAGAUAUAUAUGCCGGCGGAAAAACGAGAUAUCCCCAGAGACAAAAGCCCAAAAGAGGGAAGCAGAAGCCCUAAGUUACAGGGAAGCUAAUGAAAACGAUGAAAUAACAAUCCACAAAAAGCGAAGUGACAAACCAAGUCUAUAAACAAAUUCUCAAACAAAAUAGACUUAUCAAAAGACCUCCCAUUAUCUCCCAGAUGAGCAAAGCCAACCACAGCGGACGAAACGAGUCCGUUAGCAGCUAACGAAACCUCCUAUAGCGAAUCCAAAGUACCUCACAUAUAACUUAAUCCUAGACUUCAUAUCCAGCAAGAAAGAAGCAAAUCACAGACUAUACGAUUCACAAAUCUUCUGGAAGCGGCGUUGUCGAGAACCACGACAAUUUGACGCCUUGAUAGAAAUCUUUGAUCUGACCAGACCUCGAUCAGGUCUUGAGAGUAGAGACAAGGAGCGAGACAGAACUCCAAACCGAUGAUGCCAUACUCACACAAGAACGACAACAGACCGAAACAGGGAGCUCACAAUAAACACCAACCAAAGAGAUCUAGAUUCAUUUGUUUCCGAACGGCGUUUGUUGAUGGUCUCUUCCGAUUCCGGCAAGAUUUCCUCUCUGUGUUGCUGUCUCUUGAUUCGUAGAGGAGAUCCGCGAUUUCCUUUGAGGUCGUCGGUGGUUUCGUUCUUCUCAGCCUCAGAUCUGGACCUUGUCUAGGUUUCUCUCGUUGGUGAUAGGCGGAUCCAUUGCUUCCUUUACGACUGAGACGAGUUUGUUUUCUCUCCGGUAACUUCCGACAUCCGUGUCUUUCGUCUUUGAGUUAGUUGAGUUUAGACCCUUGUUUCGUUCUGUUGGAAUAAGUGUUAUUAGGAUGGUUUCAAUCGUUAGCUUGGUCUUUAUCUGAGAAUUAGCUGAUUGUUUGGCCCUUUCUCGUCGGGUUGUGUGUAUGGCUUAGCCGUAUGGUCCGGUUUUUGUGGCUCUCAGUCUCUGGUUCUACGCUUUUGGUGAUAGCUCGGUUUGAUGGCUUUGUCUCGCUUGUUCUCUUCUUCUCUAUGGACUUGUUGAUUCUUGCUCUCCCACUCUCUCUCCCUCGUUCUUCUCUCUUUCUUUUGUUUCUUUUAUUCUCUUUAUAUUAUAUAUAUAAUACUACUUCAAAUAUAUAGAUAUAUAUUCAUCUACUUUUAGCAGAUUUUUGUAAUAAGUUAAUAACCAAAAAAAACGCAGAGCGAGAGAGAAAAAAAAGAGAAAGCAUCGAGGGUUCCUUCGGUGGCCGCCGUCCUUCCGACGGUGGCACCGGUAGUAUAGUUUAGCUUGUUUUUUUGCUUCCUUCUCUCUUAUCUCUCAUGUGUUUCCUUUUCUCGAGUUUGGGUUGGAUUUUGUCUCAGAUCUACAUUUUUUUAUUUAGAUCUUUUCUAGAUCUAUAUCUUUUUUGGGGUUUGAUGUUCGUUUCCUCCCUCUAGAUGUUGCUGUCUCCGGUGGUUGGUAUUCAAGAAAUCAACGGCGUGCCGUUUUGGUGAGUCCACAUUCUGGAAUUUGCUCGCGACGAGGAGAUGCGGGGGUUGAGAAGGCUUUAGUUCGUUUUAGCUCUGUAAUUUUAUGAGAUUAUGUCUUUUCUGUUCUUUCCUCUUUGCUGGCCUUUCCCUAGGUCUUAAUCGAAUCGCAUCCGUCACCAUUCCUUCCAUCUGAAGGCUUUGGUGAGUCGAUUAAGCGGCUGUUUAGUCUCCUCCACACGAAGUUAAUUUCAGGUUUGGUCGAGACCUGUUUGUUUGUGCUGCCUCCUAACCGGUUCGACAUUUGUUUCGAAUUCUCCGGCCCCAGGCAGUUUCGUCGGUCUUGUCAAUUAUCCUUUGAAAGAUUCGUCUUGCCUUCCCAAGGAAGCACAAGUUUCAAAUUUCUGAAGUCUACCUACAUCAAGCGAGGACAAGUAGAGUUGAAGCCACGGUUGGUUAUUGUCGGUGUUCCACCAUGUCUAAUCGUUUUCCGCUCUCGGGUUUGGACCAGUUUUUGAGUUUUGAAUAGUUUUGUUUGCAUAUCUCAUUUAAGAGCUUUUGGUUGUAUAAGAAUCUGUUUCCCGUGUAGUCGGGCUUUGUCUCUCGAGAUUCCGAGCUUAGUUUAGUCGGAAUCUGCGGGCUUUGGUUCUCGAAAUUCCGAGCUUAGUUUAGUUGGAAUUCGCGAGCUUUAUCUCUCGAAGUUCCGAGCUUAGUUUAGUCAGAAAUUGCGAGCUUUGAUUCCGGUGUAUCCGGUUAUGUAUUCCUCCUAUGUAUCCUUCCCUUGGUUCUUAAUAUUACCAGACGACAAAAAAAAAAAAAUAUUCAUCUACUUUUAGUUGUUAUUUAUAACAGAAAGCAGUUUGUCCGAAUAGUAAAGUAUAAAGAAGAUGGAAUCAUAUAAUUAAAGUACACGACGUGGCAUGACAAAUUAAAAUGUGACGUGGAUCUUAGUCAGUAUCUAUUAUCUAUGGUUAUUUACUUGAUGAUAAAAUAUUAUUCAAAGCAAUGGACCAAACUUCGUGUGUGAUGGUUACUGCUCGCCGUCUGACUGUCGUUAAGGCAAGCAAAAGCGACAUUAAUUAUAAGUUUAUAACAUAACUAGGACGCGCUUAGCCCAAUUUUUUUAUUUUACAUUUUUUUUAUAUAAAAUUCAAAAUGUUCUACUUAUAUUCAUAAUUUUUAUAAAAAUCAUAAGUUUGACCUUAAAUUCUUGUUUUCAUGUGUUUAAUGCAAUUUUAAAAACAAUAUUAUAUAAAUUUCUUAUUUAUAAUGGAUUAAUAUGUUUUUAAAAUAUUAAAUUACCUUAAAACUAGUCCCCGAUUAAUCCCCGUUUAAUCUCCGAUUUUCUUGUUAGACGCUAAGCCCACCCUCACCGUCUGACUAGCGCCUAGAGAUUUUUUGAACAUGGGUUAGAUGUUACACAUAUGAUGAUGUCAUCAGUUCUGUUUUCUGGUGAUCAGAUUUUAGAAUGUGGUAUUCUUGUGUUUAUAUCGCAAAUUGAAUGUGG
rnacentral:lncRNA from 1 species